UAAUCUAUGUGCUUCACCAACAGCUCCAGCGAACGUGGUAUCUUCAGCAGGGUCUGUUUGUUUUCUGAGCAGGAAAGCUGAAACCCAGGAUGAGGAUAGCCGCAGUGGGGUGACUGCUGGCCUUCUAAACGGAAGGGGAAAUGGACAGGUGGAUCCUGGUGGUUGCACCGCCGCGCCUUGCAGUCGUCUUGGAUUGGCACUGCUUCUGCAACAUCCACAGCUAAGAUAAAGCAGAAUAACGAGUAAAUUAACAUUGUUCUUACUAACUUGUGAGCCCCUGAAGUGAAACGGGCUUUAAAUAAUUUCAUUGACAUAGGUGGUUCAGCCCUUGAGAGUUCCAAUUAUGCACGCAACGCAGCUGCUGCUUUACCAUAUAGCUUUGUCUCGUUUAACAGGGUCUUCAACUCUCCGUCCUCUCUUUGUUCUCUUUUCUGAGUAAAUGUUAGACAUGUUUGAUUGUUAGCAACCCUUUCUAACUUUGUUACUAAUUUUCUUUUAUUCCCGUUAGUUGUAGUAAAAUUUGAGGGAAAAACACUGAACAUGAGAAUGAAUACCGAUUUGCUGUUGUGAUCAUAGUGGGGUCAGCUUGACUGACUCUUGUUUUUCCACCUUCGUUGAAGUUUCCUCUUCCCUUUAUAGUUUUUACUACAUUUUGUUUGGUAUGACUAAGUAGUUGACUGACUUUUAUGGGUUCUUUUUAAUGUCUAUCGUUUUUUUUCUAAUGUAGGUGAUUUUUUUCUCACUUUUUUUUUCUAAUUUAUCUUUUAUUUUUGGAUUUUAAUUCGAAAUCGCAAAACUUGAACCAUCAUAUGUUUUUAAAUUUUAAAUCACUUAUUUUAGAUAGAACAAAUUUUUUAAAAGUGGAUACAAGACAAAAUGACAUAAUUUUUUUAAUAUGAGUAUGGAACAAUUAUAGUCAUUGCUUGUUCUACUCGUCCUAUCUCGAAAUAAUCUUUUACCUUUUUUGUAUAUAAUUAUUAAAAUGAUAAAAAUGUAAUAAUAUAUUAUAGGAAAAAAAUCAUAUGUUUUAUAUUUAUAUUUUUAAAAAAUUAUGUUUAAAUACUUACUCGUCCUAUCUCGAAAUUUCUUGUAGUUAUACUGUCUUUGAGAUGUUUUUAUUCGCGAUUUUGAACUAAUUUUCUAAAUACCUAGGGGAGAUGAACCUUAUGAUGAAUUUUGUCUUUUGAUUUCUGUUUUAUGCAAUGAAUAAUUGAAUCUUAUUCUCAAUUAUGUGUGCUUAAUCCUUGAUUUAAGAUUUUCGAAUUAUUAAUUCAUGUUUGAUGUGCUUAAUUAAGAGUAGAUCUAGCAUAAUUGAGUGGAGUUGCAUGUAAUCCUAGAAAUAGGACGACAUAAAUCUAACGAAUUAGGUAUUCAUAAACGAGAACUCAAUCAUAUCCAUCAGCACAAAACCCAACCAGGCGAGUCACAUUCACAUGGUGGAUUCUACCUAUCGAACCCACCUCAUUGAUGAACUCUUAAUAUUUAACUAAAGUUUGCUUUCUACUUUUUUUUUAUUUCCAUUUUUAAGAAAAUGUUAUUUUAUUAAUUCAAUUAUCUAAAUUAAUAUUAUUUUAUUUAAAUUAUAUUAAUCCUCAUUUAAUUAUUACAAGUAUAUUAUUUUAAAAUUAUAAAAAAUAUUAUUUAAUAAAUUAAACAAAUAAACAUUUAAAAUCACAUACAUUACAUUAAAAACUAAUAUAUCUAAAUAUAUAUUUUACCACUUAUUUUAAUCUUGUUAUUUUUAAUUUCAUCAAAAUUAUAUAUCACUCGAGCCACUGCGACUGCUGACUGGUGAUUAUUGAAAGGUUCUGAAUUAAUACAUCCAAGACUUUUAUGAGCAUCGCCAUUGACUGACCGACGACUUGAAUUAAAGAAUUUUCCACAUUAGCUUUGUUAGUGGACUGAUUUUUCAAAGAAGGACUUGCUCUCAAUUGCAGCCAUAAAAUAAAUGAAUGAUUGGCAUUUUACAUUAAAGAACAUCCCAUUGUUUAUUUCUUCAUCGGAGCUCCACCGGAACUUGAUGAUGUUAAGACCCAGACUUGUCUUGUUUAGCAUCUUUGCCCUUACUUUAUCCCCAGAUGUUUCCGAUGGUAGAGCAGGCAAAAGCAACCACUGCGGCCCAUCUUUGUGUGGACACGUUAAUAUCAGUCACCCUUUCCGACUAAAAGGUCAGCCUCGUCGAUGUGGUGACCGUAGGUUUGAAUUAGAGUGCAAGAGAAACCGCACCAGUUUUCCCAUGAAAUACGGAAACUUUUAUGUCCUAAACAUCUCUUAUGUUGACCGAACGCUUCGACUUGUGGAUGUGAGUCUGGUCGAUGAAAACUGCUCAAUUCCUCGCAGUUCCAUUGUCGAUUCUUCAGACAGCUAUCUAGAACACAUAAUAGCGAAUGGAGCAGACACCAUGUAUCUGGUAAAUUGCACGACAAGUAUGAAGUCUUCUUCAGUUUAUGUCGAUGCUUCUCGUUGCCCAACCAAUAGCUCUUCUUCUCCUUGGACCUACUUCUACUUUCCGGUCUCGUUUUCAAAUAUAUCCGAUUUCGAUCAUUCGUGCAGAUUUAUAGCCCAGUUUCCUGUCAUGCUUUCCAAUAUUAGUGGCUUAUCCCCUUCUUACAUUUACAAAAACCUGUUGGAAGGCGUCGAGGUGUCCUGGUAUCGUUUUUGGCCUUCAAACCCGAUUCUCAAAGUGUAAGAGACUUCGAUCUUUAGAUUCUUUCAAUCUAUAACUUUUCAAGGCCUUAUUUAUUGAUUGGUUGCUUUUUUUUUUCCUGGGGGGGGGGGUAUUCUAGCUUGCUACAGUUGCUACUUCCAAUUGCAGCAUACAUAGUAACCAUUGCGAACUUUCUUCAGCAGGGAAGCAUCAACUAUUAUACUCCUUAUCAUAAAGGUUAAUGUUUCAGAUUUCAUAAGUAUCUGUAUUUAUUGGAUUUGCCCUUGAAUUGCAUUCAAGUUAGUAAUACUAUUGUUGAAUUGGUGUUUUAAACAGCAUCCUUCUUAGUUUGUCUUGCAGUAUCAGGUAAAUCUCUUUCCCCGCCCCACUUUUUUAUGUUAUCUUUAUAAAAUAAUCAUGAAUGCUGAUUUAUCCUUGUGUAUGCCCCUUGAUGGGCAAGCAGCUGGCAUAUUGUUAGCGAGAACUUUGUUGGGGAUAUUCUGCCUCAUUACACUUGUUAUACACAAACUAAGGAGGAGGCAUUUAUCGAUGGAUGAUAAUAUUGAGAACUUUCUUAAAAGUCAAAAUAAUUUAAUACCAAUUCGAUAUUCGUAUUCUGAAAUAAAAAGAAUUACGGAAGGUUUUAAAGUUAAAUUAGGUCAAGGAGGUUAUGGUUCUGUGUUUAAAGGAAAGCUUCGCAGUGGUCGGCUAGUGGCAAUAAAAAUGUUGGAUAAAUUCAAAGCAAAUGGAGAAGAUUUCAUCAAUGAAGUUGCUACUAUUGGAAGGAUUCAUCAUAUUAAUGUAGUGCAACUUAUUGGAUUUUGUGUAGAGAGAUCAAAACAAGCUCUUGUAUAUGAUUUUAUGGUGAAUGGGUCUUUGGAUAAAAUUAUAUUUUCAAAGGAGAAUUGCACUUUAAGUUGGCAAAAAUUAUUUGAGGUUGCACUAGGUGUGGCUCGAGGGAUUGAAUACUUGCACAGGGGUUGUCAAAUGCAAAUUUUGCAUUUUGAUAUCAAGCCGCACAACAUUCUUUUGGACGAAAACUUUAUCCCUAAAGUUUCUGAUUUUGGUCUUGCAAAAUUAUAUUCAGUGGAUGAUAGUAUUAUUUCUCUCACAGCGGCUCGUGGUACAUUAGGAUACAUUGCUCCUGAAUUAUUUUACAGAAAUAUUGGAGGCAUCUCAUAUAAAGCCGAUAUUUAUAGUUUUGGAAUGUUAUUAAUGGAAAUGGUGGGAAGAAGAAAGAAUUUGAAUGCAUUUGAUGAUCAUUCUAGUCAAAUUUAUUUUCCGUCAUGGAUUUAUGAUCGAUUUGAACAAAGAGAGAACAUAGAAUUAGGGGAUGAAACAGAAGUUGAUGACAAAAUAGCAAGGAAGAUGAUAAUGGUUGCAUUUUGGUGCAUACAAAUGAAUCCCACUAAUCGUCCUUCAAUGAGCAAAGUUUUGGAAAUGCUCGAAAAUGAACUUGAUCACCUUGAAUUACCGUCCAGACCUUCACUAUUUUCUCUCGAAAAGUCAAUUGAAGAUCAUGUUAGUAAGAAUGUAUCGGAGGAACCAUCAACGUCAAAAAGUUGUGUGGACCUCUAAGUAUAAUGUUUGAUUUUAUUCGGGCCUUUUAUACAUAUAGUUCUGCAACUGUAAGCUUUUAAUUUGUAGCAUUUCAUGUUCAGUUGUAUAAUAUCCAGCAUCAUGUAAUACAACUAUUAAUGGAUGUGUGUUUUAGACUUUAGCUCCUUAGCUUCAUGUUUCAAUUAUUAAAAAUGUCUCCCAGUCACCAUAUAAUGAGUUAAUAUCAAAUUCGUUUACAAUUAUUUAGUAUAUAAGUGACUCUUAACAUUGGGUGAUCUCAUGAGAAAGUUUUUACUGAUCUCUUAUUGUAAUAUGUAAUCAUGAUAAUUAUGAGUGUGGUGUGGCGGUUGCUCACUUCAUUUUUAAAUCAUUUAGUCAAGAAUUUGAGUUCCGCUCAAAGAAAUGGAACACUUACCAACUAUGAAUACCUUAAUUUUGACAAUUAAACAACAUUUAAGAUAGAAUCUUAUCAUUUAUUAGUAGAAUUUAUAUACCAACAGCCAUGCAGCAUUUCAUUUAUGAGUUCAUAUAAAAUCUUAGCAUUGGUGUAAUAUGAGUGUGCUAAUAGACGAUUUCAAGUUUCAACUGAUUCUAGUACUACUAAUAAUGAGGCUCGAGCUUGUUCUUAUUCCAUUUCUGAAAUAGUGGCUAGAUCUCUGUUAACCGGCUUCCUAGGUAUGGUGGCACCCAUCGUCUUCGUUGGAUCCGUCGACGCAAAAGGAUUUGGUGGCAUUGUAAGAACGUCAAGCUCUCCCUCUAACAUCUGAACCACCACUUUCAUCGAAGGACGAUCAACGGGAUACCACUGAAUGCACCAAAGUCCAACAAUCAUGAGUUUCUUUGCUAUCCCUGUUUGUGCAUCAUCUUCAAUUCGAAUCCCGAACUCCCCUCCUUUAUCCAAACGAUCAUAUGCCCAUUCUGGGAAAUACACUUGGCUUGUGUUCUCGACCGUAACAUCUAUGUUCUUUCUCCCCCCAACCAUUUCAAGCAACAGCAUUCCAAAACUAUAAACAUCAGAUUUAUAUGACACAUUUCCAAAGUUGCGAGACAGUACCUCUGGUGCAAUAUAGCCCAUGGUACCUCUAGCUGUUGUCAUUGAAAUAGCACUUUGUUCCUUGGAACACAAUUUAGCAAGGCCGAAAUCAGAGAUCUUAGGAUUGAAGUUGUGAUCAAGCAAAAUAUUGUGAGGUUUGAUGUCAAAAUGGAGGAUACGUUGCUCGCAACCUUGAUGCAGGUACUCAAUGCCUUUGGCUACACCGACAGCAAUAUCCUGAAGUUUUUCCCAACUCAGGGAUCGAUCCUUGCCCUUGGCUGAAAAUAUGAACUUCUCUAAUGACUCGUUUGGUAGGUAUUCAUAAACGAGAGCUCUGUCAUAUCCAUCGGCACAAAACCCAACCAGGCGAGUCACAUUCACAUGGUGGAUUCUGCCCAUCGAACCCACCUCGUUGAUGAACUCUUCACCAUUUCCCUUGAAAUUAUUGAGCACCUUGACAGCAACUAAAACAUCACUGGAAAGUCUGCCUUUGAAGACAGUUCCAUAGCCUCCUUGUCCCAGUUUGUCCUUGAAAUGAUUAGUUAUCCUUUUAAUAUCAGCAUAGGAGUAUCUUGAGGGUUUAAGCUCUUUAUAAUCUUCCAAAAACUUUUCAAUCUUGACUUGGCUUUCUUUCUCCUUUUUGUCUAACCGAUAUCUCCACCCAACUGCAAUGGCAAUGGUUGCAGCAAUUGAAGAACCCAACACAAUACCUGCAAAUCAGCAUACAUCCCUCUGUUAUAUCCCGUCUUAAAUUAUUGAAGCUAAAAGGGAAAUUUCAUUUACCUGCAAUCAUUAGCCUUUCUCCCAAACCUGCCAAGCAUUUAAAAUUAUUCAGCUUUGAUACAUGGGAAAUCUAAGAAAAGGGCUCACUGUAAGUUUACAACAUUAAGCUUCACGUUGAUGCAGGCUAAUGAAUUUUUUAACGUACGUUGUACAAUUAUAAUAGUUAAAACAUACCUAUAUGGUGCUUGGGGAUAUAAAAACACUCGGUUUGUUCCUUGGUGCUAUUAUUGUUGGUCAAUCUACAUCCCCUUCCUUGAGCUUCGCAAUCACCACAGUCUGGUUUAUACCAACGUAACUGAAAACGGAUACCAUAAGGAGAAAUGGGUGUUGAGAAGUUGCGAAAGUAGCUGCAAUUCAACAGGUUGAGUCCAUAAUAAUUUUCAUCAGAAGCAAAAGCUAUAAUUUAGGAGCCAGGGGUGCUUAAGCAAGCGACUCUAUAUCUUUUAUACAAAGCCUUCUCUUGGCUUAAACAUUCGAACAAGGUAUAGUUGGAUUCAGCUGGUUGGGAUCUAUAAUCUUUUAGGCCGCUGAAACCUGGUUGUUCCUCCGCGAAUGGAAAGGCAGAUAAAUUGAGAUCUAAAAGCUGCUGCCAGAGGCAACGGCCGGGAACGUAGAAGUCAAUCCGUUGAGCUUCAUAAUCUAUGUGCUUCACCAAUAGCUUCAGCGAACGUGGUAUCUUCAGCAGGGUCUGUUUGUUUUCUGAGCAGGAAAGCUGAAACCCAGGAUGAUGAUAGCCGCAGUGGGGAGACUGCUUGCCUUCUAAACGGAAGGGGAAACGGACAGGUGGAUCCUGGUGGUUGCACCGCCGCACCUUGCAGUCGUCUUGGAUUGGCACUGCUUCUGCAACAUUCACAGCUAAGAUAAAGCAGAAUAACGAGUAAAUUAACAUUGUUCUUACUAACUUGUGAGCCCCUGAAGUGAAACGGGCUUUAAAUAGUUUCAUUGACAUAGGUGGUUCAGCCCUUGAGAGUUCCAAUUAUGCACGCAACGCAGCUGCUGCUUUACUACAUAGCUUUGUCUCGUUUAACAGGGUCUUCAACUCUUCGUCCUCUCUUUGUCCUCUUUUAUGAGUAAAUGUUGGACAUGUUUGAUUGUUAGCAACCCUUUCUAACCUUGUUACUAAUUUUCUUUUAUUCCCGUUAGUUGUAGUAAAAUUUGAGGAAAAAACACUGAACAUGAGAAUGAAUACCGAUUUGCUGUUGUGAUCAUAGUGGGGUCAGCUUGACUGACUUUUGUUUUUCCACCUUCGUUUCACUACAUUUUGUUUGGUAUGACUAAGAAGUUGACUGACUUUUAUGGGUUCUUUUUAAUGUCUAUCGUUUCUUUUCUAAUGUAGGUGGUUUUUUUCUCACUUUCCUUUUUCUAAUUUAUCUUUUAUUUUUGGAUUUUAAUUAAAAAUGGCAAAACUCGAAUCAUAUGUUUUUAAAUUACUUAUUUUAGAUACAACAAAUUUUUUAAAAGUGGAUACAGGACAAAAUGAGAUGAUUUUUUUCACAUGAGUAUGAAACAAUUAUAGUCCCUAUCUCGAAAUAAUCUUUUACCUUUCUUUGUAUAUAAUUAUUAAAAUGAUAAAAAUGUAAUAAUAUAUUAUAGGAAAAAAUUCAUAUGUUUUAUAUUUAUAUUUUUAAAAAAUUAUGUUUAAAUGCUUACUUGUCUUAAAAAAAAGUAAAAUUAUUAAAAUAACUAGAAAUAAAAAUUAAAUUAAAGCAGAGCGAAACAAGGUGAGAUGGGAUGGGGAUGAAUGCUUUUAAUAUAUAUGCUGUGAUAGCGAUUUUUCAGAUUAUACAUUCCAAGUGGGGCGAGGCGGGUGGUGGAGUAAAGCAUGUCAACUGUGGAGCGAUGAUGGAUUUGACAACAUUUAACCUGUCUUGCUCCAUUGCAUGAUGCUUAAUAGGGUCUUCUUUUUUUAUUAAAUCAUCACAAUCAAUUUUGUAUUGAUACUGUUCAGAUCAACCAAAUCGAUUCAUUUAAGUAAUAAACCGAAACAAUAAAAUCUGCGGAUUAAAGCCUGUAAUCAAUGUGCACAGUAUCGCCCAAUGAGGUCAAUUGAUCAAAUGGGGCUCUUUUAACCCACUUGAAUUGGCAUGAUUAAUGGAACACAUGGAGAAGCCCAUCCACUUGAAGCAUUGGUGGCUUAGUGAAAUACUUUAGUAAAACUAGAGUUACCAUGGUGAAUAUUUGUAAUCCUAAGGGAUUAGAUUGUAUAGAGCUUAAAUCCCUUCGAACUCUCAUUUGUAGAUAGGUUUUAAUCUUGAUUGUUGAUGUAAUUUAAAUUGAGUUGUUGCAUCAGAGAGAUCUCAACUAUAAAUAAAGGUUUCCCCCUUCAUUUGCAAUCACUCAAUGUUUUUUCACUCAAAGUUACUAAAUAUAAUUGAGAGCAUUUACUCAAACAUACAUUACUUUCUUGUGGUUUCUCUAGUUCUUUCAUUGCUUCUUCACUUUUGUGUUUGCUUCCGCUAAGUUUUGGUGCCUUAGAGAAUUUCCUUGUGAUUUCUUACUUUUUGAGAUUUAGGUGGACUUAGGCGAAUUUAAAGCUAAGUUCUUGCCCAAUGUUGCACAGUUUGCCAGACUAAAGUUCUAGCCUUGUGACAGUUGGUAUCAAGAGCUAGUGAUUGGUAAGGCGUUAAUUGAGAUGGAGAAAGAAGUAAAUAAUCAAGAGCUCGUGACCGUUGGCAUCACGAACUAGUGUUUGGGUAGGAAAGCUAGUAGAUCAAGGGAUAUAUUGUUAGGUUUGGAAGGUUGAGUGACCAACUUCAAGGAAUUCAUGGGUGGCAUGAAGGAAACACUCAAAGUAGUUAAGGGACACACCACAGAGCUGGACUUAGUGAAAGAGUAACUCAAGGGAUAGGUGGCAGAGGCUCUCAGUACUAGUGUGGACGCACUGCAAGGGGUUCUCAAUACCUCUGUGGGUAAGUUGACAAAGAGAGGUGAUACUCUUAAGGACGUGGUGACAAAUUUGAAGGAACAAAUUGAAUAUUUCAAGAAGGAGCUUGUUAUCUGUAAAAUUGCUUUAGGUAAUGACGUGUUGGCUACGAUACCCAAGCCUAAGGUCGAUACCUUCAAGCCGAAAGAAUUUAAGGGGAUGAGAUCCGAAAUAGAUGUGAAUAACUUUUUAUAAGGAAUGGAAUAAAACCUUCGUGCUAGAGGCAUCAAAGAUGCUGCUACUAAGGUAAAUAUUGCAUCUAUUGUAACAGCUCGAUUUAUGGGUCUAGUCAGAGCAGUGGUUUCGGGACCACAAAUCCGAAGUUAAAAUUCUUAUUUUAUUAUUUUAAUAUCUACAGUAUGAUAUUAUUAUUGUGUAAAAAUUUCGUGAAGAAAUUUUAUCAAUUGGGUGCUUAAUUUGAUAAAAAGGACUAAAUCGCGUAAAGUGCGAAAGUUGCAUUCUAUAUGUAAAGGUGUCUAAUAGCUAUAGAAUUUUAAAUUGAAGGUCCUUAUGUGAUAAAUAACCCAUUAUUGAGAUAUUGGAUGUUAUUAGAGUGGCAUUUGGUGUAGUUAUUAGGGUUAUUAAAGGUUAAAUGAGUAAAACGACAUUAUAUGUUAAAUUAAAUAAAACAAAUUGUGUCAUCUUCUUUCACUAUCCAUCUUCACCAAAAUUUCAACCUAAAAUCAGCCAUGGGAGAGCUUGUUAUUCUGCCAAACUUUGAAGACAAAUUGGUGAGUGGUUUUUGCUUGGUUUUUAAUAAUUUCUAUAUUUUUGAUAUCGUUGCUUCGUAAUCUAGCUAACCCGUACCUCCGUUUCUAAAACUGUUAAAGAUUUUUUGAAUUUCCAUUGUUGAAUACUUGAGCUCUUUGAUAUUUUUUGAUGAAAUAUGAAUAUUUUAUGUUAGAUUUUCAUCUUUUAUAAAGUGAUUUUUGAUAAAAAUGUCAAUUAGGGAUUAAAUUGUGAAAUGUGGAAAUUUAGUGGUUAAAAUGUGAAAUAAAUUGAAAAUAUGGGCUGCUAGUGAUAUAUGGAAAAUUCAGCUAGCUUGGAUUUGUGUUUAAUUUCAUAAAAUUGUGAUUUUAUGUUAUAAGGACUAAAUUAUAAAAAUGUGAAAUUAUAGGGGUAAAAGUGUAAAUAUUCUUUAAGGUAAAUUUUGGAUUAAAUUUAAUUGAGAGAUAAUUAAAUAAGCUUAUUUUGAUUAUAUUUAGAUCGAGAAAAGUGAAAUACGGAUCUAGAUUGGGGAAAAGAUAAAGUAUCGGACCAGUCAAUUCGUUCCGUCGUUUUAGCAAUCGAGGUAAGUUCGUGUAAUCAAACUUCAGUGUAUAUUUAGGUAAUUGAUGAAUGAUAGUAUGAAUUUAUUCAUAUAAUCAAUUUAAUUAUGGAGCUUAAAUUAAACGUUCGAUAUAAGUAAAAAUGUAGGAUCAAACACAAUCGUUUCGCAACGAAAGACGAAUUGGCAGAAAAAACCAUGGUUGGACCAUGGCAUUACAUGAUUUCGUAUAAGACCAUAGCUGGGCUAUGACAUCGAUAUAUGAGACUUUGUGUAAGACCAUAUCUAGGAUAUGGCAUCGAUAUAUGUGAUUACGUGUAAGACCAUAUCUGGAACAUUGGCAUCGAUAUAUGAUUCGUGUAAGACCAUAGCUGGGCUAUUGGCACCGAUAUGUGAUAACAUGUAAGACCAUAUGUGGGAUAUGGAAUUGUAUGUGAUAUACGAGACUUUCGAGUAUCCUUAACGAUUAUGAAUGGUUCGUCACGCAAAGUUAAGACAAGAAUGAAAGUUCAAUUGAAUUAAGCAAAACAGGUACGUUCAGAACCUAUGUGAGAGUUAAAUGAAGGUAAUUUAAUGAGAAUUAUUAGUGUAUAAUUAUAUUUUAUGCCAAAAUGUGUUUAUUUGGCUAUAGUGAGGUAUGAAUUGAAUGAUAUGUGUGAUAUGAGCAAUGAUUGUGUUAAUUAUAUGAAUAUGGCACAUUGAGUGAGAAUUACAAUUAUUUAACGAUAAUUUACAUGAUUCUUUCGGCUAAAGAAAUGUGAUGAAUAAUGGAUCAAAUAAAGUUAUACAUUGUUGCUUAUGUAUUUGUAAAUGAGAAUGAAGUGAUAAGAAGUUUAAGAGGCAUACGAGCUUUGAAAGGAAUAAACUCGUGGAAAUCUUGUUUGAUCAUAUGCAUGAAUAUGAGGUAGAAUUGUGAAAUCAAAUGAGUUAUAUUAUGACUUGAUGCAAUUGCUUGUAAUGUGGUUAUUUAGUAAUAAGAGUUAUGAUAUUACAAGCUUACUAAGCUUUAUAGCUUACCUGGUGUUAUUUUUUUAUGUUUUACAGUGUUUGGGACGUUCGCUCGGGUUGGAAGUCGACAGAGAUUGCAUCACACUAUCCAGCUAAUAAUUUCGGUAUUUAUAUACUUUGUGACUUGGUUAUAUGGCAUGUAUAUGCUAUGGUUAUUUUGGUUUACUAUGGAAAGUGUAUUUGGCCAUAUGGUUUGGCUUGUUUUAAGUAUGUAUUUGAUUAUUUUGUAUAGGCUAGUUUUUAAUAUGUUUGGUUUUGAUGAUAUGUAUAUAUUCAGCCAUGCAAAAAUGGCAUGAUUAUAAUGCUAAUGGUUGUGUAAAUUUGAUCAUGGUAUAAGCACAUUUCUGUAAGUAUGUCCCUUGACAUGUAUGAAUGGUGUUCUGGUUAUAUGUCUUGGUUGAGUAAUGAUAUGAAUGACUUAUAAAUAGCUCAUUUAGUAAGCUUGAUACAUGAUUUAAUUUGUAUUUGUGAUUGGUCUUGUGAUUUGGGUUGGAAUGGUUAAGUAGGCAUAUGUGGUAUGCUUGUUUGAGUGAGUUUUUAGGUACAGCUCAUGAUGGAAAUGGUAUGAAUUUUUGGAGGCUAAUUUGAUGAUCAAAUAUAGGAUUAAAUGAUUUAGUUGUGUAUAUGAAAUUUUGGCAUGGUACAUAGUAUAUGAAAUUGGCAUGUUUAAAUUGUAACAGCCCGAUUUUGGGUCUAGUUGGAACAGUGUUUUCGGGACCACAAAUUCGACGAGGAAAAAUGUAAUGGCCUGAAUUUUUAGGGGUGUCGGAACGGUGAUUCGAGAUCACUAAAUCCAAAAAAAUGAGUAGAAAAUAUUAUUAAUUUAGUGAGUAUAAGUAAAUGUGAAGUUAAGAAAAUUUUUGAAAUAGUGAAUAGUGCACUAGAAAUAAAUAUUAAAAUAAUUAGAAUAAAAAAACGAGGUAUCGAGACCUCAGAGAUUUUAAACCGAGCCAUAAAUAUUUUUAUAAAUAUUUAUGGAGUGUUAAAAAGUUAGUAUUAAAUUUUCGUUAAGAAAUUUUAAAGUUUCGAUAAUUAAUUGAACAAAAAUGACUAAAUUGUAACAAAUGCAAAAUUAUAGGAAAUGAUUAAAUAGCUUAAAUGAUAAAAGGAAGAGGGCUUAAAAAGCAAAUAGACCCAAUGUCUGGACGUCAAAGGCAUGAAAUCAACAAGAAAGUAAGGAGAAUUAAGGGCAAAAUUGGAAUACUACAAAAUUACUUAAUAAAGCUAGGAUCAAAGUGGAAUUAUCUAGAUUUCUCUUUAUUUUUCUGCAUUCUCAUCAGCUAAAACACCAUAGAAGGGUUUCCUUAAGUUGGUUUUUCAUAUUUUUACUGCAAGUAAGUUCAAUUCUUGAUUAUUUCUUGAAAUUUUUGUGUUUUUGUGACUUUUACAACUAGGCCCACUUGUUGAAUUCAUUAGUUUUUGAUUCUAUGAAAGAAGUUGAAAGUUGCUAUGAAUAUGUGCUGGAAGUAUAUGAUGAUUUAGCAUGGAAUUAGAGCUUUAAAUUGUUUCUAUGCUGAUUUUAUUGAAAGAAUUGAAUAAAAAGUGAAUAUUUGGGACCUAAUAGUAAAAGAGUUUGAAGUUAGGGUUUUAUGAGGAAAUUCUGAAUUUCAAUAGUUAUGAAUAACUUAUAAUGUCUAAGUAAAGUACUAAUUGAGAAAAAUUAGCUUAAUUGAGGGGUUAAUUAAACAAUGACUGAAUUGUAUGAAUUGUAAAUUUUGAAAUAUAAUAAAUUUUGUGAGACAAGGUCAGAAUGAUUUCGGGUUCCCCUGUUCUGACUUUGGAAAAUCAUCAAAAAUUUAAGAAAAAUAAUUAGGGGCUUAAAUUUAUAUAUUUAAAAUCCUGAAUAAGUCUAUUUUCAAGAGAAACAAACGGAAACAUCAUCCGAAUCCCGUAAGAGGAAAUAAUUAUUUUUUAGUGAAGAAGGGUCGGAACUGUCUAAUAGUGAAACAGGGGAGAAUUUAAAGAAUAAACUGUACUUAUUGGCUAAGCCAAAAAUUCUAAAACUUUUAUGGUAAAAAUAUAUAUGAGUCUAGUUUCUGGGAAAAUUAACGGAUCUUAAUUUGGAGUUUCGUAGCUCAAGAUAUAAAUAAUUUAGUGACUCUGACUCGGAUAGACAGCUUUGAAUUUACUUAUAAGUAAAUAGUGAAAAUGUAGUUAAUGUUAUUUAAGUGUGUUAUAUACAUUAAAGAUGUGAAAUAGAGAGGAGGAGGAGGAAAAUUAGAAAAUAUAUGAAUGACUUGUGUAUAAAUCGGUCAUAUAUUCGAUCAUAAUCGAUAAAUGUUGAAUUAGAAAUGAUGUAAUGUUUUAUUUCAAAUAGUUACUAUGAGAUUGAUGAUGAUCUGACUUUAGCUAAAUUAAAAGCUAAAGCGAUAUUUUCAUUGCAAAAUUAAUAAUUUUAUAAAUGUGUUAAUGAAUAGCAUAAUCGAUAAAUUUGAGUUAAAUGGUAAAUACGUAUUAGUAUUGAACUUAAUGAUAUUGAAUUGUAUGAGAAGUAAAUGGAAAUUUCUAUUGCUAGUGAUAUGAUUUUAAUUAAAAGAAUUAUUGUGAUAUUAAAAUGUAUAUUGGAUUGAGAAAUUGAUUUGAAUUGUGAACAUGAGAAAUUAUGAAUUGAAUGAAAUGGAAAUGAAGCAUUAAAUUGUUAAGACUUGUGAAUUGCAUGAAUAUAAAUCGAGUCUCGUAGGCCCUAUUUAUUAUGAAUAUAAUAUUUAGAGGAUAUAUUGUGAAGAAUUAUAAAAGCAUGUUAAAAAUUUAAAAGUUUUAAUUUAGAUGAAAUUUUAUAAUAUGGUUAAAUACGUUUACAAGUGUAUGUGUUCUAGUAAUGCAUCACACCCUAUUCCGGCGACGGAUACGGGUAAGGGGUGUUGCAUAAAUUCAGUUAUUUUACUUAGAAAAUUACUAAAGUUAGUCGAGUAAGUAGUGUAUGGAUUGGUUAUACUUACAAUUGAGAUUCGAUCAUUUGGGUAAUGCUUGUAGGCAUUUGUAUAAUUUUGCCCAUUUUGCAGCAUAGUAUAGUUCAACUUAAGCUAGUAUGUGCAUGUACAAAGCUCAUAACUAAUAUAUUUGAUAUUAGUUAAUAUUAUGAAUUGAUAUGGCUAGUUGUGGCUUAAAUAUGCACACGUGGGAAAGCUUAUAGAAAGGAUGUAUUGUUGUAAGCUAAGUAUAUGAAAGUGACAUAUGAUUGAUACUUAUUUAGGUAUCUAAAUGCCUUAUUAUAUAGUCAUAAGGUUCGACUAAUAGAAUUAUAAUGUAUAUGUAUUAUGAUAUGAUGUUUUAUAAUAGUAAAAUAUGUUUGGUUAGUUGGUUAAGUGGUACACAUGUAUGAUUGUUAUAGAUUGAUGACCAUAUGGUUUGAAUUUGGUAAUUAUGGAACUAGUUCAAUUUGGUUUUUCGUAAGUUACCUUGAUGAAAAAUUUGAUUUGGUAAUCGGAAUGAAAUUGGUUGAAUUUUGAUAUAUGCUUUAUUUGUGAUAUAUGACUAUUAAAGUAUGAUUGAUUUGGAUUGGCUUUAUGAUUCAUAUGUUCGAAUUUAGUAUAAAUGAUUUGUGGACAUUCAAGUUUAAUAAUGUUAUAAUUGUAUCUUGAUAAUUCGGUACAUGAAAGUAAAAUAUGACUUUGAUGUAUGUUAGUUAAUAUUACUUAUUGUAUGUUUAGAAAUGAAUGACUCUCUGAGCUGUAUUUUGAUUGGUAAUGCCUCGUAACCCUAAUCUAGUGAUGGAUACGAGUUAGGGGUGUUACAUCUAUGUAUUUUAUUGAUGUCGCUCUUUUAUAGUGACAUUGUAGGUCCACAGAUGAGAAACAAGGUGGAGCCACAAUUGGGACUUGGGAGGAGUUUCAAAAAGAAUUCAAGGGGCAAUUUUACCGAGAAUAUGUCGAGGAUGAGGCUCAGGUUAAGUUGCGUCGACUUACGUAACAAGGCAUAAUCAGGGAGUAUAUGAAGGAGUUUAGUGGAUCAUGUUCUAUAUUUUUUAUUUGGGUGAGAAAAAGACAUUUUUCUCCCUUAUGGAUAGGCUGAAACCUUGGGCGGAGCAACAAUUGCAACGUCGAGCAGUCAAAGAACUUAUCAAAGCAAUGAUCGUAGCAAAGUCCUUAAUUAAGUUUGUUCCGAGGAAAGACGAGUUCAAGUCUUCCAAGACCAAUGAGACGGGUAAUGUUGUGGGAGACAAAGAAUGACAUGUUAAAAAUGACAAUGGUGAAAAUGGUGGUAAUGAGAAACUACAAAAUAAGAAGUGAAUCCGGAAGGCCCCUAUAUUAUAGGGAUUAUAUCAAAUUAGUCUCUCUAUAAAUGUACAAUUUAGUCAAAAAGAAUCAAAUAAGCCUUAAUUGUAAUAGAGUGAUCUAUCAAGUAUAGUCACCUUUUCUAAAACCAUUAGUUUGAAGUCAUUUUCAUUCUCUCUUCUUGAUAUGUCUUCUUGUUUUUUUUAAUUAUUUUGAAGGAUUAUCUUCAAUCCCAACCUUUAUUUUUUAAAUGUCUUCUUUUUGGUUAUUAUAAAAAAUCAUCUUCAAUCACAAUCAAAUUGGAAUCUUCAUUCUUUUUAAAAUUUUUGAGGUAACUAAUAGUCCUUAAACUUCUUCAAGCUUUUGUAACACCCCUUAAAUUUUACAGUAUGGUAAACAACACUAUUCUAAGAAUCACUACAAUGAAUUUUUGAGAAAAUUCAAUAAUGAGAAAAUAAAGAGAGUUUUUAGAAGGGACUAUAAUUAUUUAUUUUUGGAAAUCAAUGAAGUAAAUUUGGUAUGUGGAAUUGUGAAAAAAAUGACUAAAUUGUAAAAUUAAGAAAGUAAGAGAACUAAAGUAUAAAGUAACUAAUUUGAGAAAUUAUGGAUUGAUAAUGAUUUGUAAAUAUUAAGCCGACAUGAGACAUGUAUUAUCAAGGAAAAGCAAGUUUGGACUUAAUUGAAUAAAAUGAAAAGUAUAGGGCUCAAAUUACAAACUUCUCAUUUUGACUAGAAUAUAGGUAAAAGUAUCAUUUUCACCAUUUAUGGACUUAUUUAAGGGAUAUAUUUGAAUUUUGAUUUUUUGUUUGGAUAAGUGCUCAUUGUUGUAAAGAAAUUGUACAAAUAAACAAAAAGAAUAAUAUGAUAAGUUUGCCAUAAUCGGAUACUUUAGUCAUUUAUCAAGUACUUUACGAUGGAAAUAUUAUUUUAUUGGUAUUUUUAAUGUAUGGAAUUAAUUUGAAUUUUUAUGAUGAUAUGAGAGAAGAUAUAAAGUGUUAAGUGUCAUAUUUGGUAUUAAUUAAAGAGAAGUGAUAAGAGAAGGGACAAAGGUACAAUUUUACCAUUAAAAAUAUAUUUUGGGACUUAUCAUGAAUAUUUUAAUGAAAUUAUGGACUUUAUUUUAAUUGUGUUAUUAUGAGAAAAUUUAUGGUCAUAUAUUCCGGAUUUUUCAUUCAUGAAUCAAGGUAGAUUACUUGAGGUGAAUCUAGGGAGGCUGGCAGGGGCCCCGACCUCCCCUAAAAUGAAAAAUUGUUGUUUUAGCCUUUUAGAAAAUUUUAAAAUUUUAAAUUAAUAAAUAUAAAAUUGCACUUUUGGUGCCUCCUAAAAUUAUAAAAAUUUAAUUUAAUCCUUUAAAAAUUAUAAAGAUAUAGACUAUUAAAAAUUAAAAUUUCAUUUCGGCUCUCCCUAAUUUUUUUUUUUGGUUUCACCUAUGUAGACUACCCAUUUAAAAAUUUGUUUGACUUUGACUAAUCAAAUUAUGAUUUUUUUCCUCUCAUGUGUCGUCCCUCUCUCCUUAAGAAUUGAAAAUAUAUGUCGAAUAAUAUAAAUAUGAAAAUUGCCUCAACCUACUGCAAUUAUCUAAGGAGUAACCACUUCCUCAAGCACUCAUCUAAUUUUUCUAUAAUUUUCAGUAACUUCAAUAACUUCAAAUAUUUGUUGAGGUUUAGGAUGAAUAUUGUGAAGUGUUUUUUUAGGGAUAAUGAAUACAAAGCAAUUUAUGAGAAAAAAUGGAAUAUUACAACAAACACCUAAAAACAGAAACAAAUGUUGGCUAGAAAAUAUAAAAGUUUAAGCCAAUCGAGUCUUAGCUCGAUUGGUAUAGGUAUGUUGACAAUGCAGGAAGACGUGAGUUCGAGUGCGAUGAAAUGCAUUAUCUUCCUAUUUAUGGGUUGGGAUAGGACUAUGAGUAGUUCUAGAUAUUGUGUCAAAAAGAGCAGAUAUGAUCAGAACUUAUAAUGAGAUUGUUCAAAAAAAAGAAUUUUAUCGGGUGUUAGUAUAAGUGGCAUAAAACCAGUGAAUAGAGUUAACAAUUGAACCUGAAUUUUAAAUUUUAAAAAAUACAAGUACUAAAUUCCUAAAAAUACAAAGACCAAGUUCUUAACUUUCAAAAAGUACAAGGACUAUAACCACAUUUUAACCUUUCAUUAAUUAAAGGUUUGUCAAAGUUGAAGCUUAAUUCAAUGAUCUAUGUUAUAAAAUAUAUCUUAACCCGGCCACCUUAAGCUUUUAUUAUGGUCUAUUAAUUUAUGUUCACGACCACCUUCAACUUUUUUAUGAUCCACUAAUUUACAAUCAUAAACUUAGACUUUCUUACAGUCUAUUGAUUUAUGAUCAUGACCUUUUACUUACGAGAUUUUAUUAAUCUCACGGUCCGCUAAUUUACGAUCAUGACAUUUUACUUACAAGAUUUUAUGAAUCUCGCAAUUAGCUGAUUUACGAUCACAAAAUUUAACUUUCUUAUAAUCCACUAAUUUACAAUCACAACAUUUUACUUACAAUUUGCAAUAGUCAAUAAAUUUUCGAGUUCAAACUUGCUUGGUAAACCCUUAGUUACAUGUAUGCGUGUAAAUUUAUCUCCAAAGACUCAAUUUAUAACUCUACUUCAAUAAGUUAGGAGACAAAUUGUUAUAAAAUAAUCUUAACCUGACCCAAGAUCCAAUUCAAAAUCCAAGCCGGAAGAAACCACCUUAUAUACAUUUCUAAAUACCCUCUUAAGAAUACCGACUCGAGAGAAUAUCUUUUAUCUUCCUCUUCACCCUAACAUAUUUUUUCUCCCUACCCCACCCAACCAGAAACUGUAACAACAAUCUAUAUUGUAAACUGGGAAUAUCAAAUUGCUCUAAUCAUGCAAAUAAGUUGUUAGUUUUAGUUGCCUUAAAACAACUUUUGUACCGAUAUUUAUAAAUUUAUUUAUAUUUUAUCUAUAAUAUACCAACAGAACUUUAUGGUGUUCAAGUAAAAGCACCAAGAAAAAUGCAAUCAAAUGUCUGACCCAACUCCAUCCCCAACCAGUGGUUAAACCAAAUCCUUCAGUUAGCAAUUCCAGAUUCAGACAAAACACACGACUGUGCUACGUCUUUCCUAACUCGACCACAAUCACACUAAUGUUGUCUUUGCUACCCCUAGACAUUGCGAGUUCAACCAACACCGCCGCUGCUUCAGAAGCGCGGUUUUGAUUCAAAACAUCAGCUGUUUUGCUCCUUAUUUGGCCGUUCAGACAUCGCCUUACCACUCGACACGCCACCUCAUUCGAUACCACAUCCCAAAGUCCGUCACUAGCCAGUAUCAGGAACUCGUCACCAUUCGUUACCUCUCGUACGGUCACUUCCGGUUUGCAUAUCACAAAGGGUUUGAGGUACUGAUUACCUGCUUGCAUUCCAUUCCAAAUUACAUUACAUAUGAAUAGAAUAUUAUGUACGUAAUUGCAAAUAUAUUUGGUUACCUAUGGAUCUUGAAGUGGCCAGUACUCCAAGCACUCGAUAUCCAUUCCAGUUUAUGACCCUUCCACCAGCAGCUUCAACUCUCUCCAACUCAUCAGGCCUGUCGGGCUUUGCAAAAACAAAGUGUCAACAUGGGAGGCCACCACCACUACCUGCCCCUUUAUCUUCGUCCUUAAGCUCAGUAUAAUAUGCUAUUGAAUAAUUUUUUUUUUCAUUCCAAUAAAAUCCGUAGGACCAAGUUCUAUACUUAUAAAAGCUGUACAUCGCAAUAAUAACAGUUUGGAAGGAGCGACAAUAGAUAGUAUAUAAACAUAAUGAUUAAGCAUGCAUCAAUAUAGGUCAAAGUAGAGGCAAAGAAAACAAGUGUAAAGAAAAAGGGGGCAAAUUGAAAGAGUUGUAAAGUUAAAUUAGUAUAUAAAUAUAAGCAUCAUCCUUGAUUACCCUAAAGGGAUGGCGAGCUUAAUCCUCUUAUUGCUAAUUAGACAUUAUUUGUGGAAAACGAAGAGCUUCAGUCUAGCUUUGAGAUUCAGAUACUUCCACUCAUUUCCCAUAUAUAUGAAGUUACACCUCCAUCGAAUUGAAGAUUUCAUGGUUUCAUAGUUUCCAAUUAAAUCUUUAAGAAUAUUCAACAGGUUGAGUCCAUAAUAAUUUUCAUCAGAAGCAAAAGCUAUAAUUUGGGAGCCAGGGGUGCUUAAGCAAGCGACUCUAUAUCUUUUAUACAAAGCCUUCUCUUGGCUUAAACAUUCGAACAAGGUAUAGUUGGAUUCAGCUGGUUGGGAUCUAUAAUCUUUUAGGCCGCUGAAACUUGGUUGUUCCUCCGCGAAUGGAAAGGCAGAUAAAUUGAGAUCUAAAAGCUGCUGCCAGAGGCAACGGCCGGGAACGUAGAAGUCAAUCCGUUGAGCUUCAUAAUCUAUGUGCUUCACCAAUAGCUUCAGCGAACGUGGUAUCUUCAGCAGGGUCUGUUUGUUUUCUGAGCAGGAAAGCUGAAACCCAGGAUGAGGAUAGCCGCAGUGGGGAGACUGCUGGCCUUCUAAACGGAAGGGGAAACGGACAGGUGGAUCCUGGUGGUUGCACCGCCGCACCUUGCAGUCGUCUUGGAUUGGCACUGCUUCUGCAACAUUCACAGCUAAGAUAAAGCAGAAUAACGAGUAAAUUAACAUUGUUCUUACUAACUUGUGAGCCCCUGAAGUGAAACGGGCUUUAAAUAGUUUCAUUGACAUAGGUGGUUCAGCCCUUGAGAGUUCCAAUUAUGCACGCAACGCAGCUGCUGCUUUACUACAUAGCUUUGUCUCGUUUAACAGGGUCUUCAACUCUUCGUCCUCUCUUUGUCCUCUUUUAUGAGUAAAUGUUGGACAUGUUUGAUUGUUAGCAACCCUUUCUAACCUUGUUACUAAUUUUCUUUUAUUCCCGUUAGUUGUAGUAAAAUUUGAGGAAAAAACACUGAACAUGAGAAUGACUACCGAUUUGCUGUUGUGAUCAUAGUGGGGUCAGCUUGACUGACUUUUGUUUUUCCACCUUCGUUUCACUACAUUUUGUUUGGUAUGACUAAGAAGUUGACUGACUUUUAUGGGUUCUUUUUAAUGUCUAUCGUUUCCUUUCCAAUGUAGGUGGUUUUUUUAUCACUUUCUUUUUUUUCUAAUUUAUCUUUUAUUUUUGGAUUUUAAUUAAAAAUGGCAAAACUCGAAUCAUAUGUUUUUAAAUUACUUCUUUUAGAUACAACAAAUUUUUUAGAAGUGGAUACAAGACAAUGAGAUGAUUUUUUCCACAUGAGUAUGAAACAAUUAUAGGCAUUGUUUGCUCUACUCACCUUAUCUCGAAAUAAUCUUUUACCUUUCUUUGUAUAUAAUUAUUAAAAUGAUAAAAAUGUAAUAAUAUAUUAUAGGAAAAAUUCAUAUGUUUUAUAUUUAUAUUUUUAAAAAAUUAUGUUUAAAUAUUUUCUUGUCUUAAAAAAAGUAAAAUUAUUAAAAUAACUAGAAAUAAAAAUUAAAUUAAAGUAGAGCGAAGAAAGGUGAGAUGGGAUGGGGAUGAAUGCUUCUAAUAUCUAUGCGGUUAUAGUAAUUUUUCAGAUUAUACAUCCAAAGUGGAGAGAGGUGGGUGGUGGAGUAAAGCAUGUCAACUGUGGAGCGAUGAUGGAUUUGACAACAUUUAACCUGUCUUGCUCCAUUGCAUAAUGCUUAAUAGUAUGCCUUCUUUUUUUAUUAAAUCAUUACAAUCAAUUUUGAAUUGAUACUGUUCAGAUAAACCAAAUAGUUUCAUUUAAGUGAUAAAUCGAAACAAUAAAAUCUGUGGAUCAAAGUCUAUAAUCAAUGUGCAUAGUAUCGCCCAAUUGAUCAAAUAGGACUCUUUUAACCCUUUUAAAUUGGCAUGAGUCAUAGAACACAUGGAGAAGCCCAUCCACUUGAAGCAUUGGUGGCUCAGUGAAAUACUCCGGUAAAACUAGAGUUACCAUGGUGAAUAUUUGUAAUCCUAAGGGAUUAAAUUAUUAACUUAAUUGCAGAAAUACCAAAAUUCAAGAAUAUUUUAGUAAUUUUCUAUUUUCCUCGAAUUUCCACCCAAUCUUGAUCUAAAUUGAUAUUUCAUUCAAUUUAUUAACUUAAAUAAUAAAACAAUUCAUUUCAUGCAAUUUGGUCACUUUUUGACAUUUUUACCAAUUUACCCUUAAAAUAUUAUUUUUAUUCAAUUUAGUCCUUGAACCUAAAACAUGCAAAUUGGUUAUUUUUAAUUAAAACUCAUGCUAGUUGAACAAUCAUUUAUUUUCCUCCUCCUCCUCUCCAUUCCACAUCCUUAAUGUAUAAUAUGCUUAUAUGUAACAUUUCUAUAAUUCCACCAUUUAUUUAUAUAUUAAUUCAAAGCUAUCAACUUGAGUCAUAGUCACUAAAUCAUUUAUAUCUUUAGCUACGGAACUCCGAAUUAAGAUCCGCUAAAUUCCUAUGAAACUAGACUCGUAUAUCUUCUUACCAUAAAAUUUUAAGAAUUUUUGGUUUAGCCAAUAAGUACAGUUUAUUUUUUAAAUUUUUUCCUAUUUCACUGUUUGACAGUUCUGAACCCUCUUGACUAAAAAUUAAUUAUCUCUUUUUACAGAAUUUGGAUGAUAUUUCCGUUUUUUUCUAUUGAAAAUGGAACCAUUAAUUAUUUUAAAAAUAUAAAUUUAAGCCUAUAAUUAUUUUUAUUCAAUUUUUUAUGAUUUUUCAAAUUCAAAAUAGGGGAACCCGAAUUCAUUCUGACCUUGUCUCACAAAAUUUAUUAUAUCUCAUGAUUUACAAUUCCAUUACUUACACCGUUUAUUCUAUGAGAAACUACACUUAAUAAGCUUUAAUUCCAUGUUUUUUUCAUCCUAUAAUUCGAUUUCCAAAAUUUAUGGUGAUUUUUCAAAUUUAACCUACUGCUGCUGUCCAAAACUGUUUUAGUGCAAGAUGUUGAUUACUAAGUUUAUAACUCCCUUAUUCCCUUUCUCUAUAAUAUUUCCCAUCAUUUUCACUUAUUUCCCUUCACUAAUAUAUCAAGAACAUAAGACUUUAUUUAAGAAAACUCUACUAUAACAUCAUUUCCAUACUUUUUCAACAAUAACAAACUUAAAAAUAUAUUGAAAUCUUGAAGUUCUUACCUUGUGCUAUUGAUUUCAAUCUUUAACUUGAUUUUCUCUCUCCUCCAGCUUCUUUUUCUUGAAUCUAACUUGACAUUCUAGCUCCCCAUUGUCUCUUUAUUAUUUUUCUCUCUUGGAAGCUAUGGAAAUUCUUUUGUUUUCUAGGUGAAAAUAGUGAAUUUUUGGUGAAAGGACCAAAUUGUAAAGAAAGAAAAACUUUCUUUCUUCUCUUCUCUUCUAACGUUGGUUGCAUGGAAAGAUGAUGAUUUUUCAUCAUCUUUCCUCCCUUUUAUAUUAAUCAUCUAAUAAUAAAAUAAUACUAAAAAUCUUAAUAAAAUAUUAAUUAAAUAACAUUUAUCUAAUUAAUUAAUUAAAAAUAUCACAAACAUCAUCAUUACCUUCUAGAAUUCUCUCUCUAUUUGACCAUUUUGCCCUUUAUAAUCUUUUGAAAUUUCAUUCUUGAGUCAUCACUUAAUUUGGAAAAGUUACAAUUUAGUCCCUCAAAGUUCCUCACUUUUUCAAUUUGGUCCUAAUUCAUCCAUUUUCCUUAGUUUCUAGAUUAUUCCACCCUUAAAAUAUUUACACUAUUUGUCCUUCAAAUUUUUCAUAUUUACACUUCAACCCCUUAAAUUUUGAGUAUUUACUCUUGGGCAACAAAACUUUUCUCACGUUUGCAAUUUAAUCCUUUAUUGAAUUAAUAUAUCAUAAUAUACUUCCCAAUGUUGACAUAACUCAAUAUUACCUUUUUUAUCACUUUAUUUCCUUAUUUUACUAUAUCAAUGAUAUUAUCUUACUUUAUUACUGUAGUAAAUUUCGGGGUAUUACACAGGGAGUAUAUGAAGGAGUUCAGUGGAUCAUGUUCCAUAUUUUUUAAUUGGGUGAGAAAGAGACAUUUUUCUCCCUUAUAGAUAGGUUGAAACCUUGGGCGAAGCAACAUUUGCAACGUCGAGGGGUCAAAGAUCUUACCAAAGCAAUGAUCGUGGUGGAGUCCUUAAUUAAGCUUGUUCCAAGGAAAGAAAAGUUUGAGUCUUCCAAGACCAAUGAGAUGGGUAUUGUUGUGGGAGACGAAGAAGGACAUGUUAAAAAUGACAAUGGUGAAAAUGGUGGUAAUGAGAAACUGCAUAAUGAGAACUGAAUCUAGGAGGCCCUUGUAUUAUAGGGAUUAGAUCAAAUUAGUCUCUCUAAAAAUGUACAAUAUAGCCAAAAAGAAUCAAAUAAGUCUUAAUUGUAAUAGAGUGAUCUAUACAGUCACCUUUUCUAAAACCAUUAGUUUGAAGUCAUUUAAUUAUUCUGAAGGAUUAUCUUCAAUCCCAACCUUUUUUAUUUUGAAAUGUCUUUUUUUUUGUUAUUAGAAAAUUCAUCUUUAAUCACAAUCAAAUUGGAAUAUUCAUUCUUUUUAAAACUUUGAGGUAAUUAAUAGUCCUUAAACUUCUUCAAGCAUUUGUAACACCCCUUAAAUUUUACAGUAUGGUAAACAACAUUAUUCUAAGAAUCACUACAAUGAAUUUUUGAGAAAAUUCAAUAAUGAGAAAGUAAAGAGAAUUUUUAGAAGGGACUAUAAUUAUUUAUUUUUGGAAAUCAAUGAAGUAAAUUUGGUAUGUGGAAUUGUGAAAAAAAUGACUAAAUUGUAAAAUUAGGAAAGUUUGAGAACUAAAGUAUAAAGUAACUAAUUUGAGAAAUUAUGGAUUGAUAAUGAUUUGUAAAUAUUAAGCCGACAUGAGACAUGUAUUAUCAAGGAAAAGCAAGUUUGGACUUAAUUGAAUAAAAUGAAAAGUAUAGUGCUCAAAUUACAUAUUUCCCAUUUUGACUAGAAUAUAGGUAAAAGUAUCAUUUUCACCAUUUAUGGACUUAAAGGGAUAUAUUUGAAAUUUGCUUUUUUUUUGGAUAAGUGCUCAUUGUUGUGAAGAAAUUGUACAAAUAAACAAAAAGAAUAAUAUGAUAAGUUUGCCAUAAUCGGAUACUUUAGUCAUUUAUCAAGUACUUUAUGUUGGAAGUAUUAUUUUAUUGAUAUUUUUAAUGCAUGGAAUUAAUUUGGAUUUUGAUGAUGAUAUGAGAAGAUAUAAAGCAUUAAGUGUCAUAUUUGGUAUUAAUUAAAGAGAAGUGAUAUAAUAGAAGGGACAAAAGGUACAAUUUUGCCAUUAAAAAUAUAUUUCUUGACUUAUCAUGAAUAUUUUAAUAAAAAUUAUGGACUUUAUUUUAAUUGUGUUAUUAUGAGAAAAUUUAUGGUCAUAUAUUUUAAAUUUUUUGUUCAUGAAACAAAGUGGACUACCAGAGGUGAAUCUAGGGGGGCUGGCAGAGGUCUUGACCUCCCUUAAAAUGGAAAAUUAUUGUUUUGGGCCUUUAGAAAAUUUUAAAAUUUUAAAUUAGUAAAUAUAAAAUUACACUUUUGUCCCCCUAAAAUUAUGAAAAUUUAAUUUAAUCCUUUAAAAAUUAUAAAGAUAUAGACUAUUAAAAACUAAAAUUUCAUUUCGGCUCCCCCUAAAAAUUUUUUUUGGCUUCACCCCUGUGGACUACCCAUUUAAAAAUUUGUUUGACUUUUGACUAAUCAAAUUGUGAUUUUUUUCCUCUCAUGUGCCGUCCCUCUCUCCUUAAGAAUUGAAAAUAUUUGUCGAAUAAUAAUAGAAAUAACAAAUCCUUCUUCGAGAUGUCCAGUGAUUUCUGUGUUCUUUUUUUUUAAUGAGAUAAAGGAAUUAAUCAAGAUGUGUGUGCAAGAAAUUGAAGAAUUUGGAAACAAGUGUAGAAGAAUUUUAGGAACAUUGUGGAGUAUUCAAUGAAAUUCUCAAGAGAAAAGAUAGACAUAUAUUGCCAAUCCAAUAAAAGUAAAAUGAGAUUCCGAAAAUGUUUAAUAAUGAAUCAUUUGUAAAGGAUGAAAGUGAAGUGAGAUUAUCUUGAAGUAGACAUUACGGAGGAAAUAGUACUCAUUAAAGCUAGAAAAAAAAAGUUAAGUGUUGAUCGUUGACACUAAGAAAGUGUAUCACAAAGGAAGUGCGAAGAAGAGAUACAAGUAUUCGAAGAUGGUAAUAAAGACUUACGAGGAUUGGAAAGUGAUAAUUAAUGGAAACCAUAUAAGAGAGGUGAAAUAUAACAUUCUAAAGCUUGACCUAGAAACCUAAUCGAAUUUGGAGUGUUAUUGUGGUCAUCAGAGCAACCUGCAUGAUCAAUCGUUCAUUCAAUCACAUUAAAAUAUAAAAAAAUUAGACAUACACACAACAAGUCAUUUAACAAAACUUAAUCAUAUAAUCAUUGAGUUCCUAAAUCAAAAUCAAAACACCCAAACUGACCAAUUAGCAAAUCCUAAGUACAUGUCAAACUAUACUAUUUCAAGGGUUUUUACAAAAUAAGAAUUGCGGAGACUCUGAGGCGAUGUCUGCUCUGACUCAAACUCACAAACUAUUUGAUCCAAAUAUUACCUAUGCACGGAAUUAAUAACCCGUACAUCGGGCUUUUCAGAGCUUGGUGGAGACCAAAACAGUCUAAACUACUAAUGCAUAUAAUUGAAAAUAAAAACAUUUUAAUCAAAUACAACUAUAUAUAUAUGCAAUAAUUCGAGGAGUGAAAGUCACACUCAAUAAAAAUUGUCAGAGACGCAAUACAAUCAUGAAUCAGUCACAAAAUAACAUUUAUGUAAUAGCCCAAUUUUGACCUUAAUCGGAUAUAGUGGUUUCGAAACCAUGAAUUCGAGUCAGAAAAAUAUUUUUUAUAUUAUUUUUAGUGUUUAUUAUAUUUUAAGUUAUAGGUGUGAAAAAUUCGUGUGGAAAUUUUAUUGUUUAAAGGUUCAAUUUGAUAAAAAAUGAUUUAAUCGCGUAAAAUAAAAAUUUAGAGGUUAAAUUUUAAAAGCACUUAUUUGUUGUUGUCUUUUUAAGUGGGAGGUCUAGAGAUGUAAUUAGACCAAAAUAUAGUUAGUGGAUGACAUAUGACAACAUUGUCCCUUACAUAUAUGUUUUAUAUAUUUAUUAUAAUAAGGUUAAUUAAGUAAUUUAAUAAUUAUAAUGUAUAAAUGUUAAAAUAAACUAAGAAAAGAUGAUUUUUAUCAUCUUUGAAAGCCGAAUGUGUAAGAGAACUCAUGCAUGGUUUCUUGUUGAAUGUUCGGCACUUUUAAAGACAAAUUAAGGUAUGGGUUGGUUUCAGUUUUUGAUAAUUUUUACGUUUUUGAGAUCGUUGUUUCGAAUACUAUCCGACCCAUGUUUGAAUUUUUAAUUUUGAUGAAUAUUUUGAGUUGUGCCAUUGAUGAACAUUUGUGUUAUGUGAUGUUUGAUGAUGAAUAAUGAAAGAUACAUUUUAGAUUAAUAUGUUUUGUAUUGGAAGUUUUGGUGAAAUUGAGUAAUUAGAGUUAAAUUGUGAAAUUAAAUUUUUGAGGGAUUAAAAUGUGAAAUAAAUGAAAUGUGAGGAUUGGUAUGAACAAUAGGUACAUUCGGCCCUUAAGGAGUGUAGUCAAAAUUUGUGUAUUUUGUGUUUUGAGCAAAAAGGAUUAAAUUGUAAAAAGUGUGAAAUGUUAGGGGCAAAAUUGUAAUUUGCCCAUAUAUAUGUUCUUAGACUAAUUGAAUGAAAAAAAAAUGUUUAAAUGAGAUUUUUUUGAAUAUGUUUAGAUCAAGAAACCAAGAAAUCGAAUUUAGAUCGGGGGAAAUCGAAAGUAGUUGAGUAGCCGAUCUAUUAGUCGACGACAUCCGAGGUAAGUUAUUAAGCAUAUAUAUAUAAUUGUGUAUUUUUAAAAUCAGCUUAGUAUUUAUGUAAUUAUGCUGAAUUGAAUGAUAUAUAAAUAUACAUGUAGUGAUAAAAUUAUUGAAAUAAGAUAUAUUGAGUUGUUGACUUUUGACACUAAGUGUGCGAAUUUAAUUGUAAAGCACUAAUUGUGCAAGUUUAAUUGAAAAGCACUAAGUGUGCGAGUUUAAUGGUAAAGCACUAAGUGUGCGAACUUAUUAAAUAUUUUCGAAUAACUAUUAGCAUUGAGUAUUUGUUUUUUUUUUUUUUGAGAAAUUAUGAUUAGUAAAAUGAGUAAAUACUUGGAAUUUUUGUGGUUGUAUUUAAGGUUAAGCUUUGUAGGUAUUAAACCUAUGUGGUGAUUAUAUUUGGAAUUAUAUAUAUAUAUAAUAUGAUUCUUUAUAUUACAUGGUGAGGAACUGCAUAAUGUAUUUGGUCUUGUGAUUAAAUUUGAAGAAAUGUUUAUGGUUAUGUAAUUAUAUUGAUUUAGUUAAAUCAUAGUAAUAAGUGAAUAAUUAUCUUAUGAUAUGGUAAGCUAAAGGUAAGAUGAUUUAGUAGUAUGAAUUGGUUGAAUAUUAUUUAAGAUAUCGGUUUAAAUAGUAGAGUUUAUUUGCUUAUAACUUACUAAGCUAAAUUAGCUUACAAUGUGUUGGAUAAUUGUUUUUUUUUUAUGUAUAGAUUUUGGUGAUUGCUACGUGUUCGGGGAUCGUCAGCUAAGUUCGUCACACUAUCGAUAUUUUCUUUUGGUACUUUACUAAAUCGUUUUCAAAUAUAUGGCAUGUAUAGCAUAGUUAAAAUAUUGAAUUUGGAACUAAUGUGUAUAUGUAUUUAAAAGCCAUGCGAAAGAGGCUUAUAUAUAUUUUUUUUUUUGGACUUGAAUUUGGUUUGGAUGCAUGUGUUUAAUGAUUAUGAGUGUGGUAUAUGCUUAUGGUAUUAUUAUAUGGAGGGAUUAUUUGUUCUUGGUAUAUAUAUAUAUUGGGCUACAAUGGAAUUAAUGAAUAGUUAAUUAAAGUUAGUUGCAAGAUGUGUACACGUAUGGUUGUGUAAAAAAAUGUGGAUUUCUAACUUAAAAAUGUGUGAGAGUAGAUAUUAAUAAGCAUGCUAUAUAUAUAUAUAUAUAUAUUCAUAUAUGUGCAUGGUAUGUUUGAUUUUGGUAUGUUAAGGGUUUGGCAUUGUAUAUAGGUAAUGACUUAAAAUAAGUCUAGUUCAUGACUAGCUGCUUAUUAAAUUAUGUUUAUAAUAAUUCGGUCUUAACUUAGCUCUGCUUUGAAAUUAUGUGAUAUGAUUUGAAUGGUUAUGUUUAAUUUGAUUUUAUAUGUGACUAUAAGAUUCGGCCAUGAUGUAAUAUUAUUAUGUAUGUAUGUAUAUAUAUAUAUAUAUUCAUUUGAUUAGUAAUAGAUAUACUUAUUAAUGCCGCAUAUGAAAUAGAGGAUAGGUUUUGUAACAUAUUUUGUUUAGUCCAUUAAGUACAUGUUUAUUAAUAAGCAUAAAGAUGAUAAAAAAAAUCAUUAUAUAUAUUUUUUAUACCAUUUUAAUGAUAAACACACGAUUCGUGUAUUUAUUUUGAAGCAUAAGUUGUAUGGAUUUAAGGCAUGAUUUUUUUUAAGGUGUAAAUAUGAUUAUAUUCAUGAGAUACUAUAUUUGUUUUGUGAUUAAUAAUGUAUGUAUAAUUUGUAAUUAGUCUCUUUUUUUUCAGUAAUACCUCAUAACCCUAAUCUGGCGACGGACACGGGUUAGGCGUGUUACAAUUUAAAAUAACAAUAAAACAAUAUAAGACAUUCAAUAAAUAUCGAUGGUGUUUUGAUUCAAUGUUCAAGUUCAUUAAAUAAUUUUUCUCAAAUAACACAAGAAGGAAAGAUAUUCGAACACACGAGUGUCCAACCAAACACCAAAUGAUCAAUGAAAUUAGUGCAAGUGCCAACAAUAACAAUAUUCCAUUGGGAGAUAAUGCAACUUAGUCUAUAAUCAACCAUCACACUAAAUGCACAAAACGCAACAAUGACAAUGCUCCUGAAUGCUUAAGACAGUUCCACAAUAAACAAUGAUGGAGAUUCCUCCACCUUACGAGAUGUGGCUUAUACCAAAACAUUUCAAUUAUUAAAAUAGUAAUUAACAAUGAUUUUCGGAACAUAACCAAUUAAUAAAAAUAACAUUUUAAAAAUAGUAACCAUAAUUAAAAUCAAUUUAAUAAACUGCCACACAAGUAAAAAUUCAUAUGCAAGGAAUCAAAAUAUCAGUCCACUAAGCCAAUAAUUUAAUUGCAACAUUAACAUAAUUUAAAACGUAACGAUUACAAACUAAUUUUUUAAAUGUUGGUUGCUUAGGAUCACAUGCACUAUAAACGUAAGGACCACCGUUGAAAGCCAUGCAAAAAUCUACAAUUUUAUAUUUAUAUGUGUAUAUAUACACAUAUACAUAUACACGUAAACACUAUAAAUCAUGCCAACCAUUAACAAAGCCAUGCAAAUAUUUAUAUUUAUAUAUUUCAUAUAUUUAUACAUUCACAUGCACAUAACUAAAUACGACAUCAUGCAAAUAUAGUUAUGUACAGAAUAUUGAUAUAUUAUCUCAUUAAUUUUAAAAAUAAACAACACCAAAAGACCAAGCUUUACACUACUCACACGACAUAACAUUGGUUUCACGAAUCCUCAAAGCACUACUCCCUCUGGGCUUUCUACGAUUUAACAGCAACCUGCUUUGUCUUUAUUUGGUUGUGGCUUCUAUGCAGAUUAGACGAGAGGCUUCAAUGGAUGAUAUAAAAGAGGUGGUGUUGGUCAGUGGUGGGCAGAGGUGGCCUGAUGUCGGUGCAAGGAGAUCAACGGUUAGGACCAGGGUGACUGUGGAGCGAUGAGAUGUUGGGGCGACGGAAGAACUCACGAUGGCGAUGAGAGGGCGGACAAUGGUGCAUUGAUGGAGAUGACUCCAAGGCAGCGUGAUGAAAGGGAGGGACGACUUGGGGCAGUUGGCUGACGGUGUGGCGACUAAGAGGAUCGGUGCUUAGUGAUGGAAUGAAGGAGACAAUGCCUGACGUUGGGGAGUGAAAGGUGGUAAUCAGUCUUUUAUUAGGGGUAGAAUUCUACAAAAGAAGGGUUUUGAUAGUAGGAAAGUUUGACCAAAUGUGUAUUCUUUCUUAGUUGUAACUCUGAAACCUAAUUGAUGAUGAUGAUGAUGAUGAUGAUAGAGCACACACGCCCAGGCCACCACUCUGUCAACUAAGUUGUUUAAGGGCUAAUUCCAAUAUUUGUCCCCAAUUAAUUGCUGAGGUUUCAAUUUAAUCCAUAAAUCAAGAUCAAAAUUCAAUUAGUCUUAAAAUUAAACUAAAAAAUCAAAUAAGUUCAUAAUACACAAAAAAUCACUAAAAAUAUAAAUUUUAUCCUAAUGUUCCAAAAUUCCGAAAAUAUAUUUAUCGAACUUAUCUCGAUUUUGUGUGAAAUCAUAGUUGGAAAUUUUGGAGUGUUUCACGAAAUUAUCCAUCAAAGUGCCUUAAGAAGUAGUAGUCGAGUAGUGCGUUGUUAAAAGUUCCUAGAAAGAUGUUAACAUUGGAUAUUAAAUGAGCAUCGUGGAUGGAAAAGAGGACAUCAAAAUACGAGUAUAGAGAUUUGUAGCUUGCUACCAGAGGCAAAGCUAGUUGCUGGUAGGGCUUGACCUCCCUUUAAAUGGAAUAAUUUCAUUUAUACUCUUAUAUAGUUUAUAAAAUUUUAAAUUAGUAAUAAAAAAAUUUAUACUUUGACCUCCUUUAAAAAUUAUAAAGAUAUUAUAAAAAUAUAUAAUUUAAUUUCACCCCUAAAACAAAUUUUUGGUUUCCCGGAUUAUAGAAAAGCUAUAAUCGUGUUAUGAAGUGAUAAUGGGUAAAUAAGUAUAAGAGAAAUGAGUUGAAAAGUAGGAAGAGAGAAGUAUGUAUUUGGUAUUGAGAUCAUAUGAGUUGGGAAGUUAAAUCGUGGGUUGACGUGAACGGAUAAGGCACGCAUUGGAUGUGUGGGAAGAGAUUUAAGUCAAGAAGAAAAGUGACAGUAAUUUGAAGUAAACAAUGAAGGUUAUGCACAUGCUCAAAAGGAAAAGUUAUGAUCAUUUGAUGGGGAUGAGUCAAGAUAAGAUAGCCAAUUAAAGGUGCAAAAUUAACCCAAGUUGAGAUGAAUAUGGUGAAUAUAAGCUUGUUAACCCAAGUUGAGUGACAUGUCAAGUUAUAACAAUCAAGUGAAAAUGAUUGAUGUGGUAUAUUAAAAUUAUAUGUUAGUGACAUAUAUGGUAUGGAAGACAUUAGAAGAUAAGAAACUUAUGAUUCGUGCUAAGGUUAAGAUUUAUAGAUAUUUGAUGAAUCAAAGGACAUCUUGUGCAAUGUGAAAGAUAAAGAGGGAAAUUUAUUUAGGGUUCAACAUUUAAGUGAAGCAAAUUAUAAGGUUGUGAAAACCGUUAAAAGGAUAAAAUGUAAAUUUUAGAAUAUAAAAAAAUUAAAUUGAAUUAAUGGAAAAAAAAAUGACAAAGAGGUAAUUUUUACUUAAUUUACUUUACUGAAAGUAAAUGGAUAAUUAUGGAAUUAGAGAAUAAAGAAAAUUGGGGAAAAAAGAAGGAGGAGGAGGAGAAGUGUUGUCAUGAUUAUGACCCUUGGAUAUUAUGGAAGAGGUGAAGAAAUAAUUGCAAUUGGAUAUUAAUUAUGAUGAUGGGAUUUUUAUUAAUGUUUUAAUUAUAUUAAUUGCUAUAUGGCCGUGUGUCAAGCCAUGUGGCUCAAAUGAACGUGUGGAAGAGGUCAGUCUAUGUGGCUCCUGUACUUGUUCUGAUUUUCGAUUCUUGAUAAGUGUCAAAAGUAACAUAUUUUAAUCUCAUUCUUAAUUCAUUUUUAGAUGAUUAAUCAAUGCAAAACGGUAAAAUUUAUGCUCAUAAUCCUUUAAAUUCAUAUUUCUAUACUUAUAAGAGCAUUUGAGAGAAAAAUUAGUGAAAACGAAGCGAAAAUCAAAAAAUUGGAGCAGAUUUCAAGAGCCACACGAGUUGGACACAUGGUCAUGUGAGCCACACGGGCUGCCACACGGCCAUGUGCCAGAUAGAGACACAUGGUCAUGUGAGCCACACGCCAUGUGCCAGAUAGAGGUGCUCAUGGGCCGGGCCCGGCCGGGUUCGGGCCGGGCCCAUAAAAAAUUUCGGCCCGGGUCCUAGGCCCGGCCCGACCCGGCCCGAAAUAUGGGCCUAAGAUUUUGCCCAGGCCCGGCCCGGGAAAAAAAUCAUAAGCCCGGGCCCGGCCCGUCCCAUUUUUAUUUUAAAAAUUUUAAAAAAAUUAAAAAAAGUAUUUUAAAAAUAUUUUAAAAUUAAAAAAAAAUUAAAAAAGUAUUUUGAAAAUAUUUUAAAAUUAAAAAAUUUUUAAAAAGUAUUUUAAAAAUAUUUUAAAAUUAAAAAAGUAUGUAAAAAAUAUUUUAAAAUAAAAAAAAAUAUUUAUUAUAUCGGGCAGGGCCGGGCCCGGGCCGAAAAAGUGGUGCCCGAGGCCCGGCCCAUUUUCUAAACGGGCCUCGUUUUUUUGCCCAAGCCCAUAUUUCGGGCCUAUAUUUUUACCCAAAUCCUCUCAUAUUUCGGGCGGGCCGUCGGGCCGAGCCGGGCCACCCGGCCCAUGAGCACCUCUAGUGCCAGACCGUGUGGAUUUCGCAUUUCACACUCCAAAUAUGUGGAAUCACGCAAUUUUUAAGUUUUUCGGGCAUUCUUAGACCUAUAUAUACCAAAUAUAUGGAGAGAAGUAAGAGCCGUCAGAGAAUAUUGAAGAAAACAACUCAAAAGACAUCAUUGAAGUCGACUUUGAAACAAAUUUCUACUAAGAUUGAAGAUCUCCUUUUGAUUUCUUUGAAGUUUAUUAUGAGUUUUUUUAUUUCUUGUGGUUAUACUGUCUUUGAGAUGUUUUUACUCUCGAUUAUGAACUAAUUUUCUAAAGAUGAACCUUAUGACAAAUUUUGUCUUUUGACUUCUAUUUUAUGCAAUGAAUAAUUAAAUCUUGUUCUCAGUUAUGUGUGCUAAAUUUUUUAUUUAAUAUUUUCAAAUUAUUAAUUCAUGUUUGAUAUGCUUAAUUCAGAGUAGAUCUAGCAUAAUUCAAUGGAGUUGCAUGUAAUCCUAGAAAUAGGACAACAUAAAUCUACCCUGUUAGAGUCAAAUCUAAUAGAAGAAUUCAUAAAUCGAGUCGGUACGAUAAUAGGGAUUUCAAUUAAUCCGUAAAUAUCCCAAAAUAAUAUUCGACUUAUACGAUACAUUUCUAAAGUUGCGAAAGAGUACCUUGGGUGCAAUAUGGCCCAUGGUACCUCUAACUGUUGUCAUUGAAAUAGCAUUUUGUUCCUUGGAACACAAUUUAGCAAGGCCUGAAUGGAGGAUACGUUACUAGCCUUGAUGCAGGUACUCGAUGCCUUUGGUUACACCGACAAUAAUAUCCUGAAGUUUUUCCCAACUAAGGGAUCGAUCCGUACCCUUAGCUUGCAAAUAUGAACUUCUUUAAUGACUCGUUUGGUAGGUAUUCAUAAAUGAGAACUCAGUCAUAUCCAUCGACACAAAACUCAACCAGGCAUGUCACAUUCACAUGGUGGAUUCUGCCCAUCGAACCCACCUCAUUGAUGAACUCUCAAUAUUUAACUAAAGUUUGCUUUUUUACUUUUUUUUUUAUUUUCAUUUUUAAGAAAAUGUUAUUUUAUUAAUUCAAUUAUCAAAAUUAUUAUUAUUUUAUUUAAAUUAGAUUAAUCCUCAUUUAAUUAUUACAAGUAUAUUAUUUUAAAAUUAUAAAAAUUAUUAUUUAAUAAUUAAACAAAUAAACAUUUAAAAUCACAUACAUUACAUUAAAAACUAGUAUAUCUAAAUAUAUAUUUUACCACUUAUUUUAAUCUUGUUAUUUUUAAUUUCAUCAAAAUUAUUAUAUAUCACUCGAGCCACUGCGACUGCUGACCGGUGAUUAUUGCCUGCAUAAUUUGAUGAAAGGUUCUGAAUUAAUACAUCCAAGACUUUUAUGAGCAUCGCCAUUGACUGACCGACGACUUGUAUGAAAGAAUUUUCCACGUACGUUAGCUUUAUUACUGGACUGAUUUUUCAAAGAAAGACUUGCUCUCAAUUGGAGCCAUAAAACAAAUGAAUGAUUGGCAUUUUACAUUAAAGAGCAUCCCAUUGUUUAUUUCUUCAUCGGAGCUCCACCGGAACUUGAUGAUGUUAAGACCCAGACUUUUCUUGUUUAGCAUCUUUGCCCUUACUUUAUCUCUAUCCCCAGAUGUUUCCGAUGGUAGAGCAGGCAAAAGCAACCACUGUGGCCCAUCUUUGUGUGGACACGUUAAUAUCAGACACCCUUUCCGACUAAAAGGUCAGCCUCGUCGAUGUGGUGACCGUAGGUAUGAAUUAGAAUGCAAGAGAAACCGCACCAGUUUUCCCAUGAAAUACGGAAACUUUUAUGUCCUAAACAUCUCUUAUGUUGACCGAACGCUUCGACUUGUGGAUGUGAGUCUGGUCGAUGAAAACUGCUCAAUUCCUCGCAGUUCCAUUGUCUAUUAUCCAUACAGCUAUCAAGAAGACAUAAAUUAUGGAAGACACACCAUGUAUCUGGUAAAUUGCACGACAAGGAUGAAGUCUUCUUCAGUUUAUGUCGAUGCUUCUCGUUGCCCAACCAAUAGCUCUUCUUCUCCUUGGACCUACUUCUACUUUCCAGUCUCGUUUUCAAAUAUAUCCGAUUUCCAUCAUUCGUGUAGAUUUAUAGCCCAGUUUCCUGUCAUGCUUUCCAAUAUUAGUGGCUUAUCCCCUUCUUACAUUUACAAAAACCUGUUGGAAGGCGUCGAGGUGUCCUGGUAUAGACCCUUUAGUUUUUGGCCUUCAAACCCGGUUCUCAAAGUGUAAGAGACUUCGAUCUUUAGAUUCUUUCAAUCUAUAACUUUUCAAGGCCUUAUUUAUUGAUUGGUUGCUUUUUUUUUCCUUGGGGGGGGGGGGGGUUAUUCUAGCUUGCUACAGUUGGUGAUCUAUUCACUACGUCCAAUUUUAGCAUACAUAGUAAGCAAUGUGGCCUUUCUUCUACCGGGAAUCAUCGGCCAUUAUCCUUUUGGGAAAGGUUAAUCUUUCAGAUUUCAUAAGUAUCUUUAUUUAUUGGAUUUGCCCUUGAAUUGUAUUCGAGUUAGUAAUAUUAUUGUUCAAUUUGCGUUUUAAACAGGAGCCACCUUCGUUUGUCUUGCAGUAUCAGGUAAAUCUCUUUCCCUUCCCACUUUUUAUGUUAUCUUUAUAAAAUAAUCAUGAAUGCUGAUUUAUCCAUGUGUAUGCACCUUGAUGGGCAAGCAGGCAUAUUGUUAGCGAGAACUUUGUUGGGGAUAUUCUGCCUCAUUACACUUGUCAUAUGCAAACUAAAGAGGAGGCAUUUGUCGAUGGAUGAUGAUAUCGAAAACUUUCUUCAAAGUCAAAAUAAUUUAAUACCUAUUCGAUAUUCGUAUUCUGAAAUAAAAAGAAUUACGGAAGGUUUUAAAGUUAAAUUAGGUCAAGGUGGUUAUGGUUCUGUGUUUAAAGGAAAGCUUCGCAGUGGUCGGCUAGUGGCAAUAAAAAUGUUAGAUAAAUCCAAAGCAAAUGGAGAAGAUUUCAUCAAUGAAGUUGCUACUAUUGGAAGAAUUCAUCAUAUUAAUGUAGUGCAACUUAUUGGGUUUUGUGUAGAGAGAUCAAAACAAGCUCUUGUAUAUGAUUUUAUGGUGAAUGGGUCUCUGGAUAAAAUUAUAUUUUCAAAGGAGAAUUGCACUUUAAGUUGGCAAAAAUUAUUUGAUGUUGCACUUGGUGUGGCUCGAGGAAUUGAAUACUUGCACCGGGGUUGUCAAAUGCAAAUUUUGCAUUUUGAUAUCAAGCCGCACAACAUUCUUUUGGAUGAAAACUUUAUCCCUAAAGUUUCUGAUUUUGGUCUUGCAAAAUUAUAUUCAGUGGAUGACAGUAUUAUUUCUCUCACAGCGGCUCGUGGUACAUUAGGAUACAUUGCUCCUGAAUUAUUUUACAGAAAUAUUGGAGGCAUCUCAUAUAAAGCCGAUAUUUAUAGUUUUGGAAUGUUAUUAAUGGAAAUGGUGGGAAGAAGAAAGAAUUUGAAUGCAUUUGAUGAUCAUUCUAGUCAAAUUUAUUUUCCGUCAUGGAUUUAUGAUCGAUUUGAACAAAGAGAGAACAUAGAAUUAGGGGAUGUAACAGAAGUUGAUGACAAAAUAGCAAGGAAGAUGAUAAUGGUUGCAUUUUGGUGCAUACAAAUGAAUCCCACUAAUCGUCCUUCAAUGAGCAAAGUUUUGGAAAUGCUCGAAAAUGAACAUGAUCAACUUGAAUUGCCGUCCAGACCUUCACUAUUUUCUCUCGAAAAGUCGACUGAAGAUCAUGUUUGUAAGAAUGUAUCGGAGGAACCAUCAACGUCAAAAAGUUGUGUGGACAUCUAAGUAUAAUGUUUGAUUUUAUUCGGACCUUUUAUACAUAUAGUUCUGCAAGUACUGUAAGCUUUUAAUUUGUAGCAUUUCAUGCUCAGUUGUAUAAUAUCCAGCAUCAUGUAAUACGACUAUUAAUGGAUGUGUGUUUUAGACUUUAGCUCCUUAGCUUCAUGUUUCAAUUAUUAAAAAUGUCUCCUUUUCACCAUAUAAUGAGUUAAUAUCAAAUUCGUUAACAAUUAUUUAGUAUGUAAGUGACUCUUAACAUUGCGUGAUCUCAUGAGAAAGUUUUUACUCUCUUAUCGUAAUAUGUAAUCAUGCUGAUAAAAGUAACUUGUAAUAAUUAUGAGUGUGGUGUGGCGGUUGCUCACUUUAUUUUUUAAUCAUGUAGUCAGGGUUUGAGUUCCGCUCAUAGAAAUGGAAUACCUUCCAACGAUGAAUAUCUUAAUUUUGACAAUUAAACAACAUUUAAGAUAGAAUCUUUUCAUUUAUUAGUAGAAUUUAUAUACUAACAGCCAUGCAGCAUUUCAUUUAUGAGUUCAAAUAAAAUCUUAGCAUUGGUGUAAUAUGAGUGUGCUAAUAGGUGAUUUCAAGUUUCAACUGAUUCUAGUACUACUAACAAUGAGGCUCGAGACUGUUCUUAUUCCAUUUCUGAAAUAGUGGGUAGAUCUCUGUUAACCGGCUUCCUAGGUAUGGUGGCACCCAUCGUCUUCGGUGGAUCUGUUGACACAAAAGGAUUUGGGGGCAUUGUAAGAACGUCAAGCUCUCCCUCUAACAUCUGAACCACCACUUUCAUCGAAGGACGAUCAACGGGAUACCACUGAAUGCACCAAAGUCCAACGAUCAUGAGUUUCUUUUCUAUCCCUGUUUGUGCAUCAUCUUCAAUUCGAAUCCCGAACUCCUCUCCUUUAUCCAAACGAUCAUAUGCCCAUUCUGGGAAAUACACUUGGCUUGUAUUCUCGACCAUAACAUCUAUGUUCUUUCUCCCCCCAACCAUUUCAAGCAACAGCAUUCCAAAACUAUAAACAUCAGACUUAUAUGACACAUUUCUGAAGUUGCGAGACAGUACCUCUGGUGCAAUAUAGCCCAUGGUACCUCUUGUUGGCACAUAAUUAAAUUAACCUUGCACAAAUAAAUUAUGAAAAGUUAGAAGAGUGAAGAGACUUGAAUAUGAAUAGUGAAGAGACUUGAAGAUGAAAAGUUAAGAGUCUUGAAUAUGAAAGGAUACACACAUGCAUGAAUAGUCACAACUCCUAGCAUAUAGUGAUUUAGAUGAAUAGUCACUUACAACUCCUAUAUAAAGAGUUGUAUGUAAUGAAGAAUAAUUAACUUGUGUGCUUGAAAUAAAAGCUUAUUUGAAAGAAUUUUUCCAUACAAAAUUUAUUUCUCUUCUCCAUUAUAUUCUUUAUCAUUUUCUUUGUUUUAUUUCUCCAAAUAUUAAUUAUUCAACUACAAAUUGGUAUCAGAGCCUUGUUCGAUCGAAAUGAACAAUUCUAUUCCUCUUUCUUCCGUUCCCCAAUUAACCAAAGAAAAUUAUGGCAAAUGGAGUAUCCAAAUGAAGGCUCUUCUUGGAUCUCUAGAAGUUUGGGAGAUUGUUGAAAAAGGUUAUAAUGAAGUUGAGGCUGAAGAGGAGGAAGGAUUAUCACAAGUUCAAAAAGAGGGUUUAAGAAAAUCAAGGAAAAAAAAUAAACAAGCCUUAUUUUGGAUAUAUCAAGGAGUUCAAUCAAAUGAAGCAGCAUGGGAAAAAAUAGCUUGUGCCACCACGGCAAAACAAGCAUGGGAGGUUUUACAAAAUUCUUUCAAAGGAGAUGAAAAGGUGAAAAGAGUUCGGUUGCAAACUCUUCGAGGGGAGUUUGAAAGAUUGCAAAAAAUAGAGUCGGAAUCAGUUUUUGAUUACUGUUCACGAGUUUUGUCCAUAGUCAACCAAUUGAAAAGAAAUGGUGAAACUAUGGAUGAUAGUCGUGGUGUUGAAAAAAUCCUCCGUUCUUUGGAUUCUAGAUUUGAUUACAUUGUGGUAGCCAUUGAAGAAUCAAAGGACUUGAGUACCAUGACUAUUGAUGAACUCACAGGUUCGUUGCAAGCCCAUGAAGAAAGAUUAAACAAGAAGAAGAAGGAAGUAGAUCUAGAUCAAGCACUCCAGUCAAAGUUGUCUCUAAAUGAGAAGAAAGGAGAAUUUAAAAAUCAAAGAGGGAGAGAUCGUGGAAGAGGAAGAAAUUUUAGAGGAAGAGGCUCAAAUGCUCGUCAAAGAUAUGAAAAUACAAGCACGGAGAAUGGAUGGAAAGAAGCCAGCCAAAGUCAGAAUUUUAGAGGAUCACAAAGAGUACGUGGACGUGGAAAUCAAAGAGGAAGAGGUCGUGGCUAUUUUGAAUGUUAUCAUUGUCGCAAACCUGGUCAUUUGGCAAGUGAAUGCUGGUACAAGAAAGAAGAGAAAAAUGAAGCUAAUAUAGUACAAAAUAAUCAAGAGCAAAAGCAAGAAACUUUGUUGCUCGUGUCUCAUGGUGGAGAGAUUGAUGAUGUCUGGUACAUAGACAGUGGUGCUAGCAAGGCUAUGACAGGUAACAAAAAUUUAUUUUCGAAGUUCUUUGAAUCUGAUUGUGGAGAAGUAAAAGUAGGAGAUGGCAAUGCUUACAAAGUUAGCGGUGUUGGUGAGUUGGAGUUCAAAACAAAGCAAGGAAGGGUAGAGAAAAUGUCUGAAGUUUAUUUUGUUCCCGGACUUAAAAAUAAUCUGCUUAGUGUUGGGCAUCUUUUAAAGAAGGGGUAUGAUAUUCAUUUUCGUGACAUGGCUUGCUAUUUAUCAAGGAAAAAUCAGGUUGUUGCUAGAGUUGGAGUGGCAUCAAAUAAUCUUUUCUCUCUCACCCUUCAAAAUCAGAAUAUGUCUUGUUUUAUUGGUGCUCAUAAAGGAGUUUCAAAGUUAUGGCAUGAUAGAUAUGGACAUUUGAACUAUGGAAAUUUGGAGAUGCUUUCAAAGAAGAUGAUGGUCAGAGGUUUACCAAAAAUCAAUCGACUUGAUGAUAUUUGUGAAGCAUGUCAACUUGGAAAGCAACACAAAAUUACUUUUCCUUCUCAAUCAUCGUGGAAAGCAAGAAGACCAUUGCAACUUAUUCACUCAGAUCUUUGUGGUCCAAUGACAAUUUCAUCUUUGGGAGGUAAUCGUUAUUUUAUCUCUUUCAUUGAUGAUUACUCAAGAAAGUUAUGGGUGUAUUGUGUAAAAGAAAAAUCAGAGGCUUUUCAGAGAUUCAAAGAUUUCAAGGCAGAAGUGGAGAACUUUACUGGGCUAAAAAUUAACACCUUACGGACAGAUCGUGGAGGUGAAUAUUUUUCAAAAGAAUUUGAGAAAUAUUGCCGAGAUAGUGGCAUCCGGCAUGAAAUGACAGUCCGCCAUACACCUCGGCAAAAUGGUGUGUGUGAAAGAAAGAAUAGAACAAUUAUGGAAAUGACUAGAUGUCUUCUUAGGAAGAAGAGGUUAUCAAGAAGAUUUUGGGCUGAAGCUGUUUCUUGUGCAGUUUAUCUUAUAAAUAGAUCACCGACAAGAAGCUUGGAGAAUUGCACACCACAUGAGGCGUGGUAUGGUAUAAAGCCUAGUGUUAGUCAUCUUAGAGUAUUUGGGAGUGUUGCAUACUCUCAUAUUCCAGAUGCAAUGAGAAGCAAGUUGGAUGACAAGUCAGAGAAAUGCAUUUUUAUUGGUUAUAGUGAAAGAAGUAAGGCAUACAAGUUGUACAAUCCGGUGACAAAGAAGAUUGUGAUAAGCCGAGAUGUUCGGUUUGAUGAAAAUUCCAUGUUUGAAGAUAUAGAAGUUGAAAAGGAAAAUUUGCCAAUUUUUCCUUUUGAACUUGAAGAAGAAGAAGAUGCAGUAAUUGAGAAUGCUGAAGAUGAUGCUCAAGUAGGAAAUCCUCCUGCUUCCUCAAGUUCUUCAUCAAAUUCUUCUUCAUCCAGCCCGAUCCGAAAAACGAGAAGCAUCCAAGAGUUAUAUGAUGUAACGGAUGAAGUUGUGCAAAAUGAUGUUGUAUUCUUUGCCUUCUUUGCAGGAGAAGAUCCAAUUUCUUUUGAUGAUGCAUAUCAAGAAGAAAUAUGGAGGAAAGCCAUGAAAGAAGAGAUUUGCUUAAUUGAAAACAAUGAUACAUGGGAACUCACAGAUUUACCGCCGCACAAGAAUUUAAUUGGAGUCAAAUGGGUGUACAAGACAAAGAUGAAUCCGAAUGGCUCUAUCAACAAGUACAAGGCAAGACUGGUUGCAAAAGGAUACAAACAAAAGGAAGGAGAAGAUUUUACAGAGGUAUUUGCUCCAGUUUCAAGACUUGAGACAGUUCGGUUACUUAUUUCUCUUGCUGCCCAAAACAAUUGGAAAAUGUUCCAAAUGGAUGUAAAAUCUGCGUUUUUGAAUGGUGUUCUCAAAGAAUAAGUCUAUGUUGAUCAACCACCAGGGUUUGUCAAAAAAUGAGAAGAAGAAAAAGUUUACAAGUUGAAGAAAGCUUUGUACGGGUUGAAGCAAUCACCCCGAGCUUGGUACAGCCGAAUCGAUUCUUAUUUUCAGAAGUGUGGAUUCCAGAAAUCUCCAUAUGAGCAUACUCUCUACAUCAAAGGCAAUUAUCAAGGAAGAUUCAUGGUUGUUAGUCUCUACGUUGAUGAUCUUAUUUUCACAGGAAAUGAUGUGAAGAUGUUGAAAGAAUUUCAGCACUCAAUGAUGGCAGAAUUUAAGAUGAUAGAUUUGGGAGAACUUCAUCAUUUUCUUGGUAUUGAAGUUCAUCAAUCUAAGAAAGGAAUUUUUAUUUCACAAGAGAGCUACGCAAAGGAAGUUCUAAAAAAGUUCAUGAUGGAAAAUGCGAAUCCAAUCUCUACUCCAUGCAUUACAAGUCUGAAGUUAUCUAAAGAGGGUGAAGGAAAGCUUGUCAAUUCCACCAUAUUCAGAAGUUUGGUUGGGAAGUUGAUGUAUCUGACUUCGACAAGGCCUGACAUCGUGUAUGCUGUUAGUUUGGUGAGUAGAUUCAUGGAGAAACCUUACUCCAAUCACUGGGAGGCUGCUAAGAGAAUAUUGAGAUAUGUGAAGGGAACCAUUGAUUAUGGAAUUUUCUAUAAAGCUAAUACUUAGUUGAUCUCAUUGGUUAUACGGAUAGUGAUUUAGCAGGAAGCAUUGAUGAUAGCAGAAGCACUUCUGGUUAUGUUUUUCACCUUGGGAGUGGUGCAGUUUCAUGGAGUUCAAAGAAACAAUCAAUUGUGGCGCUUUCGACUACAGAAGCUGAAUAUAUCGCUGCAUCUUAUGCAGGAUGUCAAUUGAUUUGGUUACGUGGAAUUUUGGAAAGUCUUAAGCAGAAGCAAAGCAAGUCAACAAUUUUGUUUUGUGACAAUAGUUCUACUAUUUCGGUCACAAAAGAUCCAGUUCUUCAUAGAAGGACAAAACACAUUCGCAUUCGAUAUCACUUCUUGAGGGAACUAGUGAAUAAUGGUGAUGUUCAAGUUGAAUAUUGCAAGACAGAAGAUCAGAUGGCUGAUAUCUUCACAAAGCCUCUAAGUGGACAAGUCUUCAAGAAAAAUGUUGAAAGGUUGGGAGUUCAAAGCAAGUUUAAUUUAAGGGAGGCAUUGUUGGCACAUAAUUAAAUUAACCUUGCACAAAUAAAUUAUGAAAAGUUAGAAGAGUGAAGAGACUUGAAUAUGAAUAGUGAAGAGACUUGAAGAUGAAAAGUUAAGAGGCUUGAAUAUGAAAGGAUACACACAUACAUGAAUAGUCACAACUCCUAGCAUAUAGUGAUAUAGAUGAAUAGUCACUUACAACUCCUAUAUAAAGAGUUGUAUGUGAUGAAGAAUAAUUAACUUGUGUGCUUGAAAUAAAAACUUAUUUGAAAGAAUUUUUCCAUACAAAAUUUAUUUCUCUUCUCCAUUAUAUUCUUUAUCAUUUUCUUUGUUUUAUUUCUCCAAAUAUUAAUUAUUCAACUACACCUCUAGCUGUUGUCAUUGAAAUAGCACUUUGUUCCUUGGAACACAAUUUAGCAAGGCCGAAAUCAGAGAUCUUAGGAUUGAAGUUGUGAUCAAGCAAAAUAUUGUGAGGUUUGAUGUCGAAAUGGAGGAUACGUUGCUCGCAACCUUGAUGCAGGUACUCGAUGCCUUUGGCUACACCGACAGCAAUAUCCUGAAGUUUUUCCCAACUAAGGGAUCAAUCCUUGCCCUUGGCUGCAAAUAUGAACUUCUCUAAUGACUCGUUUGGUAGGUAUUCAUAAACGAGAGCUCGGUCAUAUCCAUCGGCACAAAAGCCAACCAGGCGAGUCACAUUCACAUGGUGGAUUCUGCCCAUCGAACCCACCUCGUUGAAGAACUCUUCACCAUUUCCCUUGAAAUUAUUGAGUACCUUGACAGCAACUAAAACAUCACUGGAAAGUCUGCCUUUGAAGACAGUUCCAUAGCCUCCUUGUCCCAGUUUGUCCUUGAAAUGAUUAGUUAUCCUUUUAAUAUCAGCAUAGGAGUAUCUUGAGGGUUUAAACCCUUUAUAAUCUUCCAAAAACUUUUCAAUCUUGACUUGAAUUUCUUUCUCCUUUUUGUCUAACUGAUAUCUCCACCCAACUGCAAUGGCAAUGGUUGCAGCAAUUGAAGAACCCAACACAAUACCUGCAAAUCAGCAUACAUCCCUCUGUUAUAUCCCGUCUUAAAUUUUUGAAGCUAAAAGGGAAAUUCCAUUUACCUGCAAUCAUUAGCCUUUCUCCCAAACCUGCCAAGCAUUUAAAAUUAUUCAGCUUUGAUACAUGGGAAAUCUAAGAAAAGGGCUCACUGUAAGUUUACAACAUUAAGCUUCACGUUGAUGCAGGCUAAUGAAUUUUUUAACGUACGUUGUACAAUUAUAAUAGUUAAAACAUACCUAUAUGGUGCUUGGGGAUAUCAAAACACUCGGUUUGUUCCUUGGUGCUAUUAUUGUUGUUCAAUCUACAUCCCCUUCCUUGAGCUUCGCAAUCACCACAGUCUGGUUUAUACCAACGUAACUGAAAACGGAUACCAUAAGGAGAAAUGGGUGUUGAGAAGUUGCGAAAGUAGCUGCAAUUCAACAGGUUGAGUCCAUAAUAAUUUUCAUCAGAAGCAAAAGCUAUAAUUUGGGAGCCAGGGGUGCUUAAGCAAGCGACUCUAUAUCUUUUAUACAAAGCCUUCUCUUGGCUUAAACAUUCGAACAAGGUAUAGUUGGAUUCAGCUGGUUGGGAUCUAUAAUCUUUUAGGCCGCUGAAACCUGGUUGUUCCUCCGCGAAUGGAAAGGCAGAUAAAUUGAGAUCUAAAAGCUGCUGCCAGAGGCAACGGCCGGGAACGUAUAAGUCAAUCCGUUGAGCUUCAUAAUCUAUGUGCUUCACCAAUAGCUUCAGCGAACGUGGUAUCUUCAGCAGGGUCUGUUUGUUUUCUGAGCAGGAAAGCUGAAACCCAGGAUGAGGAUAGCCGCAGUGGGGAGACUGCUGGCCUUCUAAACGGAAGGGGAAACGGACAGGUGGAUCCUGGUGGUUGCACCGCCGCACCUUGCAGUCGUCUUGGAUUGGCACUGCUUCUGCAACAUUCACAGCUAAGAUAAAGCAGAAUAACGAGUAAAUUAACAUUGUUCUUACUAACUUGUGAGCCCCUAAAGUGAAACGGGCUUUAAAUAGUUUCAUUGACAUAG
rnacentral:lncRNA from 1 species